rnacentral:lncRNA from 1 species
GUGGGUCCUCUCAUAUAAAUCUUUUAAACAUCAUAAGAAUAAACAUAAUGAUACAGGUGUUAUUGCCAUGGUAGUGUCUUGCAUAAAGCUAUUUUAUAGAACACAAUGACAAUUAAGUAUUUAUUUAUAUUAAUGCAUCAACGAUGGUGAAUGAGAUGGAUAGCAUGAAUUAAGUUUAUUAACAAAGGGUCUUUGUCAAAAAAAAGUUCGACAUCAUUGGGCUUGAAAGAAUUACCCAGACCUUUUUCUUUCUUUCCUUUUUUUAAAAAAAAUUGAGCCAGGUGGCUGGUGCAAGCAUACACCAAUUAUAUUACUCUUUCAAAAGACUAGAAUGUCUCUCAGCAAUUUGCGUCAAUUCACUGAGAAGGUCCUAUUCCAAAGGCAUUAUUUUCUUGAUACUUACCAAAUUGUCUAGCUAGUCUGCAGCACCAUUUGUCUCUCUCUGUAUAUGUGUGGUCGACAAACAUUGCAGCAAGGUUGCAAAUUGCCAUUAUCAAUCUCAAUAUAUAAAAACUUGGGAAUGUGUGUCGGCUUCUUUGGAAACUUUUACACCCAUCAAUAUACGUUUUUGAUAUAAACCAUUCAUGUCUAAUCUACAUUUCCCCAACACCAAUCUCAUACCACAGCCUAUCCUCUAAAGAGUUGAAAAUUUGAGCUUAUUUCAGGUUUUAUGUUAUUCUAAUUGAGAAUCUCAAUUGUAUGGAAGAUUAGGGCCGGUUAGGUUGCAAUUUGGUCGAGUUUGUCUAACUUCAGAAAAAGAAUUAUUUAAUUUAGCAUAUCUAUAUUUAUGCAGGACUGCUUUUCUUCCAUUUGUUUUUGUGUAUGCGGUCAUAGAGAUAAAAAAUUCCAGAAGCAGUUUCACCACCAUGGAAGGCAUUGCAUGUUUACUCCUGUGAUUUUAAGUGCUUAUCAGCAUAAAGUAUGGCAAAUCACCUGCACAAUAGGCUUUCCACUUUUCCAGUUUCUGUGCAAUGAUGUGAUACAGAUAAUGUUUGCUCUUACAACUCCAGAUCUCAUUUUGUCUUUGACUUCAAAGGAAACCACAAACUUUACUCUCUGAAGGAUUAAACUUUCAUCCUUAAGCACUUAAAGACUUCAUACCUUGGACUUGGGUAAAAAUAUAUCAUGUCUAAGACUCAUUUAUAUGAUUGCCUUUGACAUCAUUCAUUUCCUUCUUCAUCCUCCCUCAGAAUAGGAAUUUUAGAUUCUUGCUCCAGGAAGACUGACCAAGAUCUUGUUGCUCUGCCUUAAAAAUGUUAUCAUUGUCCAUUUGAUGAGAUUCCUCAUAUAAGGGUAUAAGUAGCAAGUUGACCUAUAACCGAACAUUCAUUCUAAAGAUGAUUCAAGACAUGAAUUUUUUCAACAAGUUAGGUUUUACUUAAAUGCCAUAUGUAGGUUCGGUACAGCAAAACAAUUUUGUUAAGCAAAAGAAAUAGGACUUUGACUGGAUCUGAUGCAUGCAUUCCCAUGGGCUCCUAAUAACUCUUAUAUUGUUUAUUGGCUCCACAAGCAUUUGCAGAUGCACUCUUGCUACUACGUGUAUGUAUGUGCCUGACUGCACCAUGCAUGUUAGUGAUACAAUACGCCGUGGACUUUGGGUUGGCUUGAUGCUUGGUCAAGGGGUCUCGGAAAUAUACUUUUUUUUACUAAUAGAAUUGUAAAGUCCUCACAUUAUGACCCAGCUUGUGUUAUAUAUGCGUACAUAUAUUUUCUAGGUAUAAAAGGACACAUUCUUGGUAAACAUUCAAACAUUUUGUUCGCAGGUCAUUUAUCAAAAGAUCCCUAUCAGAUGGCAAUAUUCUAUGUCAAAGUUGCGUGGCCGUAUCUAGCUGCACUGUUGGACAACAAGAAUUGCUGAACUCAGCAUUGCCUCCACAAGUGCACCAACAGGAAGGUGCCAAAGGUCUUUGUGAUUCCACGCCAGAUAUUUCAACUUGCGAAAGCGACGUGUCAUAUUCUAGGUUGGCUGCCUCAUUGUUCAUAUUUGACACAUUAUUUAAACCUGCUUUUUAAAUUCUUUCUUCAUUCCCUAAUCAAACAGGAGGGUUCCAUGCUGGCGUCCUUUUACUUACUUUCAUACUCCUACUUGAAAUAGAUUGCAUAAAGUUUUUUCUUUUAAUAAUCAUUCUUAUAUAACAUCUAAAAGCAUUGAUUUUGUUAAUUUGACUUCUAUCUUCUUAGAAAAGAAGGCUGAUGUUUCUUGUUUUAAAACAUGUGGACACAUUAUCCUUCUUUACUCUUAAAUGGGCAAUAAAUAGGAACAAUUCAUUUUAACCUUACAGUAGAUAGCAGUGGUUAUCAUCACAUUAGAAACAUGUGAUUGAAUGUUGCUUUUGAAUCUCCGGUGAUGUUAAUUGCCUUUUGUUCCUUCUUUAUUAUAGGUACAUGCCGGUAAUAUCUCGCAGGCUUCUUUUUGCAGAUAGCGAACAUAGUUAUUUUACUGAACAUAGAUUUGAUGAAUCAAACAGUUCAAAUUUUCUGGACCUUGAUUGGCUAUCGUCAUCUGGGAAUUCAUGCGAGGAGGAAAAUUUUGAAAGGUGGUAUUCCUUGAUGCUGCUUUGCAUGCUAUUCAUCACUGCUGCAUUUUUUAGUUUUCUUCUUUUCGAGAUUUCUAUAAUCCUACUUGUGCCUCCCCAAAUUGUGAUGUUUUUUCACAUUAUGUCUGAAACGUUCUGCUUUGUGUGUCUGUGUGGUAUGUGCGUGUGUGCGCAUGCUGUGAAUUAUUCUGUUUUCAAGCCAGACAGCCUAUCUACGAAGUAGGCGUUGUUGGCCAAAAGAAAAGUUUCUGGUGCGAGACGAGUUUUUUGGUGUGCUUUACAUGUCUCUAUCAUGCUUCUAGGGGGCACAUAGAACUUUUAUGUAUGCUUCCUGGCGGAAAAUAGAGCUUUGAGUGAUAAUUAAGAUGUGCAGAGCUUUGCGGGCAAAUUUUGUGGAUCUGUCCUAUUUUCUAUGUCUCUUCUUUUAUUCUUUAGAAAAAUAAAGGUGACUAGCUGGAUACAACAUAGGCAACGAAGAUUAUAUCUUCAUGGAAUAGUCAGUGUCCUUGGUACCUCACCAUUUGAGACUAGGAUGUGUGCAGGACACUGGUUCUCUCUUGAACUGGGACGUUCUGAUUAUCCGGUCCAUCUCAACCAUCCUAUGUUUGUCCCGACAAUUGGGGUGCACUGGGAUUGACUGUAGAGUGCAUUUUUUUAAAAAAAAUUUCUUUUUAUUUUUGUUGUUACUAAAUGCUUUGGUCCAUGCUGAUAUUACCAUCCCGGAACCAUACCAUCCCAGUAGCAAAUCAAGAUGAGGCCCAAUACCAAGACUUGAAUGCUUAAUGGGCACAACUCGCAUAUGUGCACAUCCAUGCACACAUGGCAUAAAUGUCUACAAUUACAAUUGGUUUUUAUUGCAAUUGUCACAUUGGUAGGAAGAUUGUUAUGCACCCAUUUGUCUGAUGAUGAACUCCUGUACUUUUUGGGGUAGAAGGGUCCCACUAUGGUACGAGUAAGCAGAAAUCCUCUAGGUAGAGCAUCAUAACUCCAUUUGUUUGUGUGCAAAUGAACUUUUUUCUUGGACUUUCUGCAAAAUACAAGAUGCUCCUUAUCAGAGAAUUGGUGCAAUUGAUAAUGUUCUUUCAAUGCCUAGAAUACUGUAAAGCAUUAGAUUUUUCUAAUGUUUCUUGCCUUUAUGUUGAGCGGUUACAAAUUGAUUAUUUUGAAAUGAGCUGAUAAUUGGUGUGAAAGCACAUGAACCCAUUGAAUUGAUAAUCGGACAUUUGAAUGAAUAUGGAAUUUGAUAUUCAUGUAUGUAAUGUGGAUGUUUUGAUCAUUCAAGACAUUUGAUUAUUGGACGAUGAGCUAACUUUUUGAUUAAAACAUCACAUUGCCUAAAUCAGCAAACAACCCAUGUUUGAAUUGUAUUUUAAGACUAAAUGAGUCUUUUUUCAUGGGGUGUGAAACCUUGGAUGUCUUAUUUGCUUUUAUUGAUAGUAACUUUUCAUGCAAACUUCAGGCAACAAGACUUAUUAUUGACUCUCAUGGGUUUUUUCUUUCUUUUCCCCCCUGCAGGUCCUCGCUUAUCAACUCACCUAUUGAGAAUCUUUCCACUGAAAAUGUCUUGAAUAGUGUGAAUGCUGAAACAAGAGAGGAAGGGUCUGGCAAUAUGGUCGGUAGUUCUUCUCCUACAAAUGAUUUAUCUUGAACCUCUAACUUGAGGAUGACUCAUAAGCCAAAGUUCUUGUUUAGUUGAAAUUGGUCUAUUAAUUAAUGUAGUUUCAAAAUAUACAAUCAACCAUUGAACAAUCACUGUUACCAUGUCAGAAAAUUGAUAGACGACCAUGUUAGGUGGAAAACAUAACUUCCACAUUCUUAAGCAUCUUAACUGAUUUAGCACCAUUUUACUGCAAAUAGGUUGUUAGCAUGAUGAUGUUUUAAAGAAAAGAUUUUAAGGUGCUCUCUGGAUGUUUUUAUUUGUUGUACAAAAUGCAGCCGGCAUAAUAGACUAGUCACUUGAAACAUGGUAGGAACGUGGAUAUUAGUAAGUUCACAUUCUACAGUGUUCAUUUUAGUGGUCUCAAAGUAAAGCUGGUUUGUCAUACUUCUCUUUUUCCUUUUUUGAGUUGAAAAUAAGUUGCUUGAACUGCUGUCAUUUAUUAGAUAUUGGAGUAUCCAAACCUAGAACUUUAAGAACCGCUAAAUUGAUUCAUUUUAUCCCACAUAAGUGUUAAUUUUUCUUGUUGAUUGGUUGGUCAAAUGAUCGCAGUAGAGGUACUAUCUAAUAUUGAAUGAAAGGGAAUGAUUCAGGGUGCCAUUUUCGAAUGUUUUAAAGUAGCUAGAGGCUCUUCUGAGUCAUGAUUUUAGUAUAACUGGCUCACGGUUUCUUGAGAAAUUAUGAAGCAACUCUGGAGGUUUAUGCCAUUUUAGAUUGUUUCGCCUUUAAUUUAUGCGUGGUUUUUUGUGUAUGAAAGUUUUGGUGCUUGCAUGACUGCGUUAUGCAUAUGCAUGUUAUGCAUGAAUGUUAUUGGUUUAUGGCUGAUGUAUUGGAGUGUAACAAAUAGAUCAUGCAUUAAUAUUUUGGAUGUAAGCAUGGUAUCCAUUAAGUGUCUAUAUGUAUGCUUUCAUUUUUUUUGGAUGCAAUGAGUGUUGACAUAUGUAUUUUCAAAAUGUUGAAAUCUUGAAACCGCACAUUGACAAGCAGUAAUUCUUAAAUUUUGGUUAGCUGUUAAUUUGAAUUAUUUUCUCGCAUGAGUCAAUAGUUGUGCUAUUUUGAGCUUCGAACAAGGCAAAGGGGCAGCAAUUCUGAUUGAACAUUGAAUUGAAUGUUUUUAUUUUCUCAUCACUUGAUGAAGGACCUCAAGUACCUAAACUGGUAAUUCUAUUUAAUCCUAGUGUACUUGAUGCAUGUACAUGAUACGAAUCACAAAUAGAUGCUCACACAAUUCUUCAGCUAGAUUUAAUUCUGACAGCAGUUCGAUGAAACAGACGUGAUUUUUCUGCACAACAUUUUGUAGUUUCGGCUACCUUUUGUUCUUGUACAGUUUCUCAAAACACAGUUUAUUUCUUCUUGGCAGCAGCAAAAAGAAGAAACCAAUAGAGCACCGCCCUGUGAUAUGGCUGAAAGUUCCGCCAUUCCUGAUGAAUUGUCUGAAAGAUUUGCAGAAUGGGUGGCCCAUGGGGAAACUCUUUGUUAUUGAUGUGAAGACAUCCACUCCAUGAUCCAUCCGAUCUUCAGUUUCGAGGAUGCUUCAGCUCGCUGAGGAUUGAACAAUGGAGAGAGAGAGAGAGAGAUCACCAAAUGACCUUCAACUCUGAGAAUGGUCCAGCCCUGGGAUGGAGGGAGAAGAGAACGGGGAGCAAUGACAACAAGAGUUGCGGCAUUCACUUGUAUAUUGAUCUCAUCCAUCAUAAUCACAUUAUUCAGCAGCACCAACAACUGGAUUGCUGGUCACAGCGGCAUAAGUAGCGCUCAUAGUCUGAUAGUUCGUAGGCAAAUAGCUACAAUUUUUUCAAGCCCAUGCUCCAUUCGGCAAAAGCUCUUGAUGUUCUCUUGUAAAUAUAGUUGUACAAAUAUUUUUGUUUUUUGGCAGCAACUUUGUCCCUUUGGGUUUGCUUAUCUGGCCAAGCUGUCCUCUGGCGGGCGCAUCUUGUGCAUCCAUUGGUGCUGUCUUUGCAAACAAGUAACUGUUUAUUUGUUAAUUUUUUGCAGUAAUCUUUUUAGCGCCCGCUUGGACUCAGUUGUAAGCAUCAUGUCCUUUGCUGAACUGUGUAAGUGCAGCAAAAACUAUUUUUUACAAGGCUUCACUGCCGAUUUCAACAUGUUCCAUAAUGCGAUUUUCGUAGUUGGAUACCGAUAUCGUGUGCUUUUAUGUUCGUCAGCACAUGUUGCUGCCACAGACCACACAAUUCAUUUACUCCGUCUGACCUCAGAAACUUGUAGCAAAGCAAACCCCAUUCACAAAAAAGAAAUCAAUAACCUUGACAGCCUCCUGCCAAUUAUUAUCAACAGAAACAAAAAAUCUCAAUCCAAAGUAUAAAUCACAAAACAUUUUCCCUUGAACCAGGUUCAGAAUACCAUAGCCCAGCACCACCCUUGCUGAAGCAGUGAUAACCAAAGCAUAAGCAAUAAAACAGCUUGUUCAACUAAAAUCCACAAUGCACAAAUAAUACUAAACAAGAGUCCAUGAACACAGAAAUUCUCUUUCUGACAUCAUGUUUCAAGAAAAAAAGAAAGAACACUCUUAAGGCAAGAUGGUUCAUAGCUGGGCCGCAUGGACUCAUACUAAACAAAAGCUUCUUAAAAACAUCUAGGAUUAAUUUCUAGAAGGAAAUUUGACAUGAGGAACUUGAAAUGCAAUCAGCCUGCACUUAAUCCCAGCCUGAGGGAGCCGGUGGGGCAGCCUCCCAACCAGAGGGCACAACAGGAGGAACACCUUCCGUAGGCGGAGCUGGAGCUGGAGCUGCAGCUGCAUCCCAUCCAUCAGCAGCAACAGGAGCUGUUCAUUAGACAGAAAGCGGAAAAAAAAAAGAGAGAGUUCUUAGAACAAAUAUGAACAGCUCAACGAUGCAACCAACCAUGUCCCCAGACAGCAAGGAAAAUGAUAGGAGAUAACGCAACAUGACUUUCACAUGGCGCAUGACCAUCAUACAGAUUCAGCAAUAAACCAGUACAUUACCUGCAUCUAAUUACACGUCGAGUGGGGACAGCAAACAACAAAAACAAUUCCAUAAGGGGCUGCAACACUAAAACAUUGCUCUGCGGAACAACUCUUAUUUCAUGACAGGAAAAAAAAAAUGUUAAGGAGCUUUUAUUCAGCCGCAUUGUUGUUUCUGCUAGGCUUAGUAUAGGGAACAUAAAGGAUCAAUAUCAUCUCACGAAGUAGGCAACUCCAUCUACAGUGAAACACGGCUGUUCGUAUGAAAUAAAAAGCUCUUAAUAAAUCAGGAAGGCCACAAAGACCUGAAAGGGGCAGACAUCAACCAAGGUGCAUACUUACAACAGAAUAAACAGAAUGCUAAAAUGGUCUCGCCGGAAAUAUGAAGGGUUAACGGUUUUUAAGAGCAUUUGGAGCACGGCACACUUAAUACUAGCAGGUAUCAAUUGUUUUAAGUUGGUGAACACAAAUUUCAAGGUAGCUACAACCAUUCUCCAUAUGCUGGACCACAAAUUCAUGCACAGGAUAACCAUAAAGCUCCAUGAACGAGGAAAAUCUGGGUAACAAGAAUCAUGCGAGGAGAAAGAACUGGUGAAAUUAGAAGGAUGAGAGAUUUUGGAAAUAGUCCUGACCUUGACUGGCAGGAACAGUGGCAGGUGCAGUUCCCAUGUCAGGAACCCACUGUUCAGCAGUCCACUGAUCAUUGGGUACCACACUGGUGUAAUCAGCAAUUCCACCAUGUUCAGGUGGGCCAGAGCCUCUUCUUCCUGUUCCAUGGCUUCCUCAGGAUCCCUGUAGAAAAAUAGAUCGACCUGUGCAGACCACCAAACCGGCUAAGAAACUCAAAGAUAUAAUCAGAGAAGCAUAUCUAACAUCACCAAAUUAGCCAACCAAAAAAAAGAGUAAAUAUCAUAUUUAGAGCAAACGGGGAACUAUUUCAAAUGAAAAGCUGGAGAUUAGAGAUCCCAAGGAAAUAAUGGAUCAACCAUUUCUUGUUCUGAAAAAACAGAGCGCUGCUUACACUUCGAGACCCUGAAGAGAUGCAGAAACUAAAGCUACUUCUAGCUAUGUAAAAACCAAAAAUGUACACAAAAUGAUAGGGAAAAGAUGAUUCCUGCAAAUCAUAAAAACCUCAAUCUGUUUUUUCAGUGAUUUGAUAUGACUAUGUAGUUAGCUCUCGACAUUAGUUACCAAAAGACUCAUUUGAGAAAACUAGGACUGAAACAAUGAAAGAAAAGGGGAUUUAAGCCCUACUUUCCCAAUUCUUCUAUCUUUUUUUAAUUUUUUUCUAGGAGAUUCGAGUUGAGCGGGUUAAAAAAAAUCAUCAUUCUUUCCAAUCGGAUCAACUAUACAGUAGAGUAGUUACUCAAGGACAAAAACCAAGAAGAAGAAGGGGCACAAGAACUGGAUUAAGGGAGUCUAAUGAUGAUAUUUUCUUAGAGCAAACAAUUCUAAUCAAGAGAAAAAGUAGAGAGAACGAAACUUAAAUGUUGAAAGCAGUUUUUUCAUUGAAAGUUACUGAUUUCCACUUUUUAACAUCUAAGUUGAAAAAAUUCAUGCCUCAUUCUUGUGCACAAUUAAAAUUGUCCAUCUAUCGAUUUUAAAUUGGAGGCUGCAUCCAAUGGGUGGUUCAAUGUGCUAUUUAUUUGGAUGGCUAGUCUUCAAUUAUUGGGAAAAUGUUUACGAAAUCAAAGCAUGCAGCUACAUAUAUACAUGUAUAUGUGCAUUGCCGCAUGUAUUUAAAUCAAUCCAUAGCAUAGAUACACAUAUACAACCAUCCAUAAUCCCGAUAAAGUGCACAUAGCAAUAUUGGAUUUCAUUGGUGACGUAAUGCAUCUUAACAGCUUUUCAAUGUAAAAAAAAAAAAAUNNNNNNNNNNNNNNNNNNNNNNNNNNNNNNNNNNNNNNNNNNNNNNNNNNNNNNNNNNNNNNNNNNNNNNNNNNNNNNNNNNNNNNNNNNNNNNNNNNNNNNNNNNNNNNNNNNNNNNNNNNNNNNNNNNNNNNNNNNNNNNNNNNNNNNNNNNNNNNNNNNNNNNNNNNNNNNNNNNNNNNNNNNNNNNNNNNNNNNNNNNNNNNNNNNNNNNNNNNNNNNNNNNNNNNNNNNNNNNNNNNNNNNNNNNNNNNNNNNNNNNNNNNNNNNNNNNNNNNNNNNNNNNNNNNNNNNNNNNNNNNNNNNNNNNNNNNNNNNNNNNNNNNNNNNNNNNNNNNNNNNNNNNNNNNNNNNNNNNNNNNNNNNGGCUCCAGAAUUUGGUGAUGCAAAUUUCAAGCGUCUUUGUUGGAAAAGGAUUUCUCCUCAAGUAUUGGGUGCUGGUAGCUUAACAUAUUAACCCCCUGUGACAUCUUUCAGUAGAAAUAAAAAAUAUCUAAAGCCCUUGAAUUGUAAUUUGUACAUUGGUGCUUUUCAGCCAUCAAUCCCACCUCACCACCAAUCUUUCCUUUUCUUUUUCUCCAUGGCUAGCAAGAACUGACAGUCUGUCAAGGUCCUUGGUAUUCUCAUGAGUAUUGUUAACCAUGACACUUCAUUUAAUAUAGGUCAGAAGAGCUUUCGCACAGCUAAUGUUUCUGGUAGACAUUAUUUGUGACUAGGACUUCAGAGAUAACUGGAACCAGAGGACCCUAAUGAAAAUAACAUUUCCAUUAGCUUGCUUAUGGUUAGUAUACAGAACAAGUUGAACUUUUGGGUUCAUUGAAACAAAAAGGUAAUUUCAGUAAGUCAGGUUUGAGUAGUGCAAGGACAAAUGUAUCUCAACCCUAGACAAAGCAAGCAUAUCUUCAAGUGGGGCCUCCACCAAUAGGGAAAAUGAACCUAGUUUCUGACCAUGGAUCAGAUGGCAGUAGCAGCCGAUUCCGUAGGAGUCAAUUCAAAAUUAUUGGGGGUUGAUACCAGUAACACCAACGAAUCAGAAAUUAAGGCUCUUUUUGUUUGCCCAUUUGAAUUAUGAUGUUCACUGAGGUUAUUCAGUAGGAUUACUUGUCAAGCCAAUGGUACCAAGGUUCCUGAAGGCUGCCUGAUAUUUAUUAUUGAGGUUAAGUCCGAAUGUUUUGGUCAUGUAUCUCCAUGUCUCGCGUUCUUUGAAGGAAUGAUCUCCUUCUAGUGAAUAGCAUUGUGGAGAGAACCUUUAUUUGUGAGCAUUGCCCUACCAAUACUUCAAACACCAUUAAACCUAUCACAAAACUUCGCAAAUGUAAAGGGUAAAUUAAAUAGGGCGGUUCAUAAGUUUAAUAAAGUUUCUUUCUUUUCUUUUUCUUUCUUUUUAAGUGAAAGAAGGUUAACCCAUCAAAAUUUAUUAACGCAGAAUUUCACACUAAGAAUGCAGCAUAAUGACAGCACCUUGGAGCAAAGACUGAUUGGAGAUAACAUGUAAAGCAUGGAAGAGAUAGAAGAAAGGAACAACAACUUGCAAGAUUUCAAAAUUGUGCAGCAAAAUAUCAAGAUGAGACCACCAUAAGUAUGGAUUAUUGUUGCAAACAAACAGAAUAUUUUAGACUUAAUGAAGAAAUAAAGUAAGAGUUCUUGUUAACAUAAGACUACAAACCUCAAGCGGAUUCAAUCUUUAUAAGAAUCAUACACCUCUCCUACCUUCAUCUCAGAAUCAUCUGCAAGGGAAGAAUCAUCUAUGGUACCAUCAAUCUCAUCAUCCUCAAGAUUCAUAAAUGUAGUUUGAUUAUCAAAGUCACCAUCAAAUAGAGGACCCUCAACAUCAGAGAACUCAUUAAAACUCUCAAUUCUCUUUCUCCUUCCUCUGUAACCAGUAAACCUCAGGAUCUUCUCCUUCCAGAGAACCAAGGGACAUUUAUCUGCCAACUCAGAACCUUCAUAUGCUUCUGUCAGAAACACACUGAGACGCUUACCCCUUUCAGAUACAUAAAAUAUGCCAAAGUGCUUCAAAAGAAGCCUCAUUAGCUUCUGAGGCAUUACAAAUUCACGUCGAAAGUGCGUGAGGUGGUCAGUAACCAGCCGCUUUUCGAUGGUAAAGCUCAAUAUCUCAUGCAUGAUUGCCACAGCCCUCUUAUCAAACUCUUGCGAGCCAGGUGAGAGCCCUUUAGCAUCAGCAUAUGGAGACAAGUGUGACCUCUUCUGAAAAUGCUCGAUUUUACCGCCAUAUCUAAAGAGUUUCUUGUAAUUCGAAGGAAAUUUCAUUGGAAAAGGAAGGAAAAGAACUUCAGAUUCAGAAGAAAUAUCGGAGAUUGUUCCUGUUGCCAUAGCUUUCUUCUCUAGCUCUGUAACAGCCCAAGCGGGAUUCCAAGAAACAAGCUGCAAAUACUCAGCAUCCUCAAUUCUUACAACCUUGAAGUGAUCUGGAAACAUAUGGAUCCAUCGAUUUCUGAAAUCAUAAGGAAGACCAAAAUCUCGUCUAAAAUGUGCAAUUUUAUCAACUGAAAGCCUCUUAUUCACUGACAUCAUCAAUAACCUUGUAACAUACUCAACUGCUUUCUCAGAAUGCUCUUCCAAUAGCCUAGUCUCUUCUUCCACAAGAUCCUCAGCUUCCUUCGUUAGCCCACACCAUAUCACUCCCUUCUUGUCCCUGUACAGCUCAAACAGCUUUGGGGACUUGCGGAUAAAGUGCACGACCUUAUGUGGCUUACUCAGAUUAAUCUGCUGCCGAUACUGCUCCAAUCUUUUAAGUGGUAUCACUUGUUCGGGUUCUCUCUUCAAUGCCUCAAUCACAACUAACACUUUUGAAGUAACCUUUGACCUCUCUGUGGCUAUCUCAAGAUCAUGCACCCUCUUCUUCUUGCUGCGAUCUUGCACCCUUCUACUUUUUGUCAUUGUGCGCUUUUGUGAGGCCAUGAAGAACCAAUGAAAAGACAAUCCAGUGCUUUCUCUCAACAUGUUACCAGCAGGAAUCAGAAACUGUUAAAUCAGGAAACAGAUCCAAUCAGAUAAACAGGAAAGAAACAAGAACUGUUUGCCUUCAACAUAUUUACCAAGCAUUUAAGCAAUCAAGUAACAAAUAAUAAGUCGUUGAAAAUCGACUGACAAUAUUGUUGGUAUCCUCUAUGAUUUAAAGGUAGAUUAAAAAACACAUCCCAAAAAGUCUUCACAAAAUGAUUUAGUAAGUCCAAAAUAAGAAAAAUAUGCAUAGCUUAAUAUUGCUUAAAUAUAAUGUAUAUAACCAGUAUUACAGAUAGUCCAUUUAAGCAAGUCAGACAUAAUUAUUUAUUUAUGUAAUUAGCCAUAGUGAUUGUGUACAACAAUAACAAGUAUUAGGAAAGUACUUUUGACAAUUAAAUAUUAGUUUCCCAGAAACACAAUAAGCAAAUAAGUUUAUAUGAAGAUAACAAAGUAAACAGGAUAAGAUAUCACGGCUAAUCAUCUCAAUGUACAGAACCGAGUAAACUUCCAUUUUAACUUUUAAAUAAAAAUAUCAGAUGUUAAUAAUCUUCUGAGUUAGUAAACAUUUUCAAUACUUCUGAUGUUCAACAUGCCUCCCAAAAAAAGGCACAGAAAUAUCUAUAUUUAACAAGAAAACAAUAAAAACCCCAUAAAUUUUCAAACCAUGUCUGCAUAUUGUAUAAGAAAAACUCCUGAGUGCCACUCUGUUUAUGAUGCUCCCUGAGUUUCCGUAUUUCCACCACCUCUCCAUAUUAAACUACUCCCUCAUCCAAUGUGAGCACGUUAAUAAGCAAAGCUGCACUCCAAUGCUGCCUCAUCAGGCAUUCAAUGGCGAGUACUCUUACAUCCAGUGAGAUGUGCAUUUGUGCAGGCAGGCAAGCGCCAUGCACAUGAACAAGCAUGUUUGCCCAAAUGCAUGUGUGCACACACAAAAACACACUUACAUUCAAUGAAGAGUGCUCUUAUAUUCAAUAAUGUGUGCAGGCGGUCAGCUGAGCAUCAUGCAAAUGUACAGCGCAUGUGCCCAAACAAAACGCAGACAGACACAAUGAUAUACGUACAUUAAUAUGCAUACACAUAUCACCCAUAUACACAUGCAUAAAUAUAUGCAUUCAAAUGUCCCUGCGUGUGUGAACCAUGUUGCACGCAUGCAUACAAACAUGUGUAUGCAUAUUCCCAUGUAUACAAGCUUCAGAUGGCUGACCAAAUGAUUCCAACACGUUAAUGUACUACAAUGUACAGCGAUCGGCAUCACAAUGCUCCUAAUAACUAAGAAGCAUGCUUUCAUCUAAUUACAUUUCCUACAUUGCCAAAUUUGGAGGAUGUAUUCAGCAAAUUAUCUACACCAAUAACAAGAACAUGCAAUUGUUAACUUAUGCACGUAAAGCACCAAUUUAUUACAGAAAAUCCAGAUUUUCUGUCCCUAGCACUUUGAUACAAGAACCAAAAACACAGAUUAUCAAGUCUAAUCCAACUUAACCUAACAGUAAUUCAAAAGCGCCCUGCUUUAUCAAGUAAUACUAUACUAGAAUCCAUGCAUAAUAAUGCAACUACAGCAACUAAACGCAAAACGAGCUGAAAGAAUUUCCAUAAACCCCAUCAGAAGAUUUCUUAAAAAUGCUGUGCAAAACUACAGAAUUCCAUCACGUUUUACGAUAUUCAUAUUUCCAAUACCAGUAACUUAUUGCUUAGUACUGAUUUACCAACCCCACAAACCCAUUAAAACCCAAAAUGAUAACUGGAAAAUCAAAGCAAUCAAAUCGACAAAUUUAUCCUAACCAAUGGGGCAAAACGUAAGUGCCGGGACCGUAUAGAAUGACAUAGGGUUUAUCACUUUGCUUAGUUCUAAUUUAGCAACCCUACAAGCCCAUUAAAACCCAAAAUGAUAACCGAAAAAUCAGAGCAAUCAAAUCAAAAAAUUUAGCCUAACCAAUGGGGCAAAACACUAGUGCCGGGACCGUAUAAAAUGACAUAGGGUUUACUUUUGGGGCGACGACAGUGGCGGCCUUCACGGUGAGGCCACGGAAGCUCCUCUGGCCGAGCCCCACCCCGCACGCUCCCACCGAGGAAGGAAUCCUAAAAGGCACCAGCGAGAGGCGAAGCCCGUCGAAUGACAGCAGGCUCGUCCUCCUCACCACUCCAGAUCCAGAGAAUCGCACAGCCUCCAUCAACGUACGGAUCGAUGGUCACUGCGAAGAAAUUAAACCAUAACAAAUGCAAAAAAAAAUCAAAUUUUCAGGGGAUUUUCGGGAGAAAAAUGUGGGAAAAAAUAACGAAGAGAAGAACCGUAGAAUGGAAAUGGGGAAAGCUAUGAAGAAUAUAGGGAUUACAGGGAAUUCACGAAUUGCUGACGCCAGGAGAGCGAGCCACGGAGAGGACAACCCUAGCGAGCCGAAUGCCAAUGGAGAGAAGAUGGCUGGGUUUUAUACGAGAGUUUGGUUAUAAUGUCUGUGGGAACCCAUUUUACUAACCUACUCGCUGCGAAAGUACGAAAGGAGGGAGUAUUUUAUAUGUCUGGAAAUUAAAUUUGAUUUCGGCUUAUUGGAAGUUUCAGUCGAAGUAAAAUGUUCUGGAGGGAUAAUGUAAAGGGCCAAGCCAAAAGUCCAAUUCACCAUCGGUACUUGGGUCUGCGUUGACAUCCAUCAAGAGCUGUUCCAUCAAGAGCACAGCUCUUGAUGGAUGGUUCCACUGCACUAGUCGGUUUGGCAGCUUGGCUGAGCCAUACUAGGGAUUGGAUUUGCCAGAUCCCUAUAGCUUUGCAUGGUCGAAUCAUAUGUAUUUGAUCUAUGUAUUCCCAAAGGGCAGUAUAAUGGAUCAGAUGUCAGUAGUAGUGGAUUCUGUAGGAGUCAAUUCAAAUUUAUUGGGGGUUCAUACCAGUAACACCAACGAAUCAGAAAUUAAGGCUCCUUAUGUUUGCCUAUUUGAAUUGUGAUGUUCGCUGAGGUUAUUCAGUAGGAUUAUUUGGCAAGCUAAUGGUACCAAGGUCCCUGAAGGCUGCCUGAUAUUUAUUAUUGAGGUUAAGUCCGAACAUUUUGGUCAUGUAUCUCCGUGUCUCAUGUUCUUUGAAUGAAUGAUCUCCUUCUAGUCAAUAGCAUUGUGGAGAGAACCUUUAUUUGUGAACACUGCCCUGCCAGUAUUUCAAACCUUUUGACCAUUAAACCUAUUUCAAAACUUUGCAAAUGUAAAAGAUAACGGUAAUUUAAAUAGGGCGGUUCAUAAGUUUAGUAGAGUUUCUUUCUUUUCUUUUUUCUUUCUUUUAAGUGAAAGAAGGUUAACCCAUCAAAAUUUAUUAACACAGAAUUUCACAUUAAGAAUGCAGCAUAAUGACAGCACCUUGGAGCAAAGACUGAUUGGAGAUGACAUGUAAAGCAUGGAAAAGAUAGAAGAAAGGAGCAACAACUUGCAAGAUUUCAAAAUUGUGCGGCAAAAUAUCAAGAUGAGACCACCAUAAGUAUGGAUUAUUGUUGCAAACAAACAGAAUAUUCUAGACUUAAUCAAGAAAUACAGUAAGAGUUCCUUUUAACAUAAGACUACAAACCUCAAGUGGAUCCAAUCUUUAUAAGAAUCAUACACCUCUCCUACCUUCAUCUCAGAAUCAUCUGCAAGGGAAGAAUCGUCUAUGGUACCAUCAAUCUCAUCAUCCUCAAGAUUCAUAAAUGUAGUUUGAUUAUCAAAGUCACCAUCAAAUAGAGCACCCUCAACAUCAGAGAACUCAUUAAAACUCUCAAUUCUCUUUCUCCUUCCUCUGUAACCAGUAAGCCUCAGGAUCUUCUCCUUCCAGAGAACCAAGGGACAUUUAUCAGCCAACUCAGAACCUUCAUAUGCUUCUGUCAGAAACACACUGAGAUGCUUACCCCUUUUGGAUACAUAAAAUAUGCCAAAGUGCUUCAAAAGAAGCCUCAUUAGCUUCUGAGGCAUUACAAAUUCACGUCGAAUACCAUAGCCCACCACCACCCUUCCCGAAGCAGUGAUAACCAAAGCAUAAGCAAUAACACAGCUUGUUCAACUAAAAUCCAUAAUGCACAAAUAAUAUUAAACAAGAGGCCAUGAACAUAGAAAUUCUCUUUCUGCCAUUAUGUUUCAAGAUUGAAAAAGACUAAAAAAAGAAAGAACACUCUGAAGGCAAGAUGGUUCAUAGCUGGGCUGUAUAGACUCAUACUAAACAAAAGCUUCUUAAAAAUAUCUAAGAUGAAAUUCUAGAAGGAAAUUUGACAUGAGGAACUUGAAAUGCAAUCAGCCUACACUUAUUCCCAGCCUGAGGGAGCCGGUGGGGCAGCCUCCCAACCAGAGGGCACAACAGGAGGAACACCUUCCGUAGGCAGAGCUGGAUCUGGAGCUGCAGCUGCAUCCCAUCCAUCAGCAGGAACAGGAGCUGUUCAUUAGACAGAAAGCGGAAAAAAAAGAGAGAGAAAGUUCUUAGAACAAAUAUGAACAGCUCAACGAUGCAACCAACCAUGUCCCCAGACAGCAAGGAAAAUGAUAGGAGAUAAUGCAACAUGACUUUCACAUGGCGCAUGACCAUCAUACAGAUUCAGCAAUAAACCAGUACAUUACCUGCAUCUAAUUACACGUCGAGUGGGGACAGCAAACAACAAAAACAAUUCCAUAAGGGGCUGCAACACUAAAAUAUUGCUCUGCAGAACAACUCUUAUUUCAUGACAGGAAAAAAAAUGUUAAGGAGCUUUUACUCAGCCGCAUUGUUGUUUCUGCUAGGCUUACUAUAUGGAACAUAAAGGAUCAAUAUCAUCUUAUGAAGUAGGCAACUCCAUCUACAGUGAAACAAGGCUGUUCGUAGUGCUCUAUGAAAUAAAAAGCUCUUAAUAAAUCAGGAAGGCCACAAAGACCUGAAAGGGGCAGACAUCAAACAAGGUGCAUACUUACAACAGAAUAAACAGAAUGCUAAAAUGGUCUCGCCGGAAAUAUGAAGGGUUAACGGUUUUUAAGAGCAUUUGGAGCACGGCACACUUAAUACUAGCAGGUAUCAAUUGUUUUAAGUUGGUGAACACAAAUUUCAAGGUAGCUACAACCAUUCUCCAUAUGCUGGACCACAAAUUCAUGCACAGGAUAACCAUAAAGCUCCAUGAACGAGGAAAAUCUGGGUAACAAGAAUCAUGCGAGGAGAAAGAACUGGUGAAAUUAGAAGGAUGAGAGAUUUUGGAAAUAGUCCUGACCUUGACUGGCAGGAACAGUGGCAGGUGCAGUUCCCAUGUCAGGAACCCACUGUUCAGCAGUCCACUGAUCAUUGGGUACCACACUGGUGUAAUCAGCAAUUCCACCAUGUUCAGGUGGGCCAGAGCCUCUUCUUCCUGUUCCAUUGGCUUCCUCAGGAUCCCUGUAGAAAAAUAGAUCGACCUGUGCAGACCACCAAACUAACUAAGAAACUCAAAGAUAUAAUCAGAGAAGCAUAUCUAACAUCAUCAAAUUAGCAAACCAGAAAAAAGAGUAAAUAUCAUAUUUCGAGCAAACGGGGAACUAUUUCAAAUGAAAAGCUGGAGAUUAGAUAACCCAAGGAAAUAAUGGAUCAACCAUUUCUUGUUCUGUAAAAACAGAGCGCUGCUUACACUUCCAGACCCUGAAGAGAUGCAGAAACUAAAGCUACUUCUAGCUAUGCAAAAACCAAAAAAUGUACACAAAAUGAUAGGGAAAAGAUGAUUCCUGCAAAUCAUAAAAACCUCGAUCUGUUUUUUCAGUGAUUUGAUAUGACUAUGUAGUUAGCUCUCGACAUUUGUUACCAAAAGACUCAUUUGAGAAAACUGGGACUAAAACAAUGUAUAGCCUAUCGAAAUGCUUCCCCUCCAGAUGAUUAAUUGAUAAUGCUUCAAAGCGAAGAGAAAACAAUUAGAAGCACAUAAGUCAAUAAUCUCUUACCAUCACUUCCCAUUUGUGCCCAGGAGCAAUAGUGCCACGCAUCUGGAGAACCAUCCUAGCCAACAACCAGAAGAGGCAGCCAAUACUGGACUUCCCUUUGUUGUUUGCAGGAAUUCCAAUAUCAACGUAUCGCAUUGGAGAAUCAGUGUCACAAAAGGCAAUGGUUGGAAUAUUUCCCAGAGCAGAUUCCUUGAUAGGCUGCAGGUAGUAUGAAUAGAAGGAAUUAAUAAUCCAUUUCCUUGGCCAGUAAUAAAAUCACACCUUUGUUACUGAUAAAUUCACCUGAUGAUCGGUUCUAGGAUCAGUGAGGAUGAGAAGCCGUGGCUCACUAAAGGAUGUCUGAAGCUGAUUGGUGAAGGUUCCAGGGGUGUGCCUCCCAGCAAUAGCAUGAGCACCUGUGUACUGAGCAAACUUCAAAACAGCUCUUUGACCAUAUGGCCUUGCAGAUUGGACAAUAAUAUCCUGAGGAUUUUCAAUCGCAACGAUGACCCUAGCUGCUAGCUGAAGUUUCUCCCAAGUUUUACCAAGGUUGAUGAUAAAGAUACCUGAAAAAUUAAGACUACAUGAGUUUCAGAAACCACUCGCUGAUGUAGGAAGUCAAAAGGUGCAAAUAGUUAAUAGAGAGAGAUAGAACAAGACAGCAACUAAUUAUUAUAACCACAGUACAAUUAUGAGUAGUAAUUGAAAAUACAUAUAUAUCAAAUUUAUAAUAAAAAACACUACUUUUAUAUGGAACUCAUCUAGAUUUAAGAAGCCCAAAGCAUAACAGUUGUGGAAGCAGCUCAGAUCCACAAAGUUGCAGAAAGCUAUACAAAUCCAACCGACUGAACAACAUUUAGCAAUCUGGCCUCUUUUAUCUUCUAGAAAUAGAUAUGAAUAGAUAUGGCUUGUUUUAGAAAUGCACUGAUAGUGUUUAGCUUUUCAAAGAUUUAAGCAAUGAUACUGAUGAAAGUAUUGACAUAACCUAGGAUAAAGGGUUACUGGUGUUAGCAAACCACACACCUACCAUUCCAAAAUCUCAAUUCUUAAAGCAGUCCUACCAAAAACUGCCCUCAACUUCAUGAUAACAGGUACAGUGACCUUUGCAGUUGGCAGAUCUGGCAACUUUAACACUGUUUUGGUGCUUAAUUAUAACACGACCCAUCUAAAACCAAAUUCACAAAAGCUUUAUUCCAACUACUUGUAGUUGGUGGUAUACAUCCUUCCACAUGAUUCAUUCCAAUACAUAGAGAGUUAAAUGAUUGUCCAUUGUUACCGUAAAGAUUUUAUGGACAAUCUUUCCUCAACUUCCAUCAACGGCCCCUCCAAUUAUGCAUAUACUCUGUGGUCCAAAACAUUGAAUAACAAUAAGACGUGUGGCAAUCAUUUCUAGCAGGUAGGAAUAGUACUAUUUUCUAUCGUUAACUGCAGAUUUUGCCCCAGGCCACCACAGGAUUCUCAUAUAUUCUGUGCUUAUCUUAUGUGCGAUGACCUUAUCAAUCAUCUGACGUCUUUGUCCAUAAAACAUGCGAAUCAUAUUAUUAUCCAACAAAAAUUCUCCUUGCAUACAUGAAAGUCGCCAAAAAUUCUCCAGGAAUACAGGAAAAGACCUAUUUCUUUUCAUCGAAGAAAUUUUUUCAGGAGCUUACAGUAGUUCAACAAGAUAAUCAUCCAUUCUUGUAUAUGAUAAAGUCAUAUUUCAACAGUUUGAAAAUAUAUACAGAAAAAUAUGACAAAAUAACAAAUAACAGGAAGAACUACAUGAAACAUGUCAUAGAAGAAAAACAACACGAAUCACAAACGGAAAAAAUAUACGAUUUAUCCCCACAAAAUCACGGGUAGUCUGUCCCUACCCGAGAGAGGUUAUCAGAAACUCUAAGCCAACAAAAAUAAAAGAAAAUAAGAGAAAGCGACAUCAACAGUUAUAUCAAGGCACGGUAAGAAAAUAUCUAACACUUCGCGAGCCAUGACUUACAAAUUUCCGUUUAUCUAGCAGAAUCUGAUCAAACAAGCGUCAGAAUUUUUUUUUAAAAAAAAAAGAAAGUAGGAUUGAACUUAAGCAGCCCAAAAACACUAAAAGGCUUGCAGCUAACCAAACAUUAUAACCAUUAACAAAAUCGAAACUUUUGCUGAAUUCUUUACUAACCUCAUCCGUAAAACUUGAAUAUAACUUAAAAUAACUGAUAAACUUAUUUAUGAAGACUUCAUCCUACAAUCUUUUCUCAUCGGAAGCAAUAACGCCAUAAACCUACAGAUCUAGGAGAUAGGAAACAGAAUUCUAAGGUCUAGGGUUGGGGCCUGGAUACCGUCGGAUCUUCGCUUAAAGACGUAGCGCUCCAUCUGGAAGUCGCAGUUCUUGGUGCCGAGAUGGACUUCGGCGGCGAGCAUCAUCUGGAUGUCCUGCUCCUUCUGAGAGAGCAUCCGAGUCGUCGCCAUGGCUGGAAGAGUCCCCUGGAGGCCGAGCUCGAGGGCUAUGGUUUUGGAGUAGAGGGAGAAGGGGAUCCCAGAAACCCUAGCCUCGCUUUUUAUUAUUAUUAUUUUUUUCAAUCCACAGGCGACGAUGGAGGAGCCGCGGGAGAAAGGAGGGAGGGGCUCUUAUUCUGUGCUCUCAGAACCCUAGCGUCCGUAGUAAAAUGACUGGAAUGCCCCCUUGGAAGAACGGGCCAGGUUUGCUCGAUGGAUCGGUGAACCAGGCGGAGAAAUUGGUUCGGGCCGGUUUGAGCGAUUGGGUCAGACCGCUUUGAAGAAGAUGUUUAAAUUUGGAAUAGUUUCUAACUAAUUGAUUCUUAUUACGUCUUCUUAUUUUCUUGUCUGAGCAAAAUCUAGUAUGGAUUGGAAUAGUAUAUUUGUAUUUCUUAAUUAGUGGACCAUUCACUGCAUCAAUGAAGACUACAUCAGCUUAAAUUUAGUUUUACAUUAUUAACAAGGAAAAGAGAAAUCACUCAGCCCAUAUUGCAUAGAAUUACAGUGUUUAGGACGAGCAAAUUAGAAAACCAAACCAGUUACUUUGAACUCAUCGAUGCUUUUUAUUUAGGCAUUCGUCAAUUGAGAAUGAGAGUUAAAUUGAAGAUCCAAUCGAGUUUCCAAUCUUAACACUGACCGAACUCAUUUUGAAUUUUGAGUUUCCAUAUUGCCCUAGCCUAGACUUCCGAGACAAGCAACUAAUUGGAAAGCCUUGAUUUAGACACUCUGAUUUACAUCUACAAUUUCAUGAUUAUAUGAUUCUGGGCAGAGCCAACAUAAAGGUUUGCAAAUUGAGGUCCAGUCAGCAAAGCAACCCAAAGACCAGUAAGCACAUGAUCCCGUCAACGAUGAAGACGAACGCUCACAGGCAAGGUUUAAUUCCAAUUAUGAACUCUUAAAAGCUUUGAAUCAGCCACUUUGUUUUCUUGGUUUUUUUUUUUUUUUUUUGGGUCUCUUCGUGACGCAGCCAGUUUAAAAGAAGUCCGGGUUACAGCAGUUUGUGUACCACAUUACACGCACAUCGUGAUGCCUUGUUUGUAUUCAUCUCGCAUGCAUUAGCAAUUGUAGGAAACGCCACAACAGCAUAUCUUGCAAAGUAGGAGCCUGCGGGUUUCUGAGGCUCCAAUAUUUGAUACGAGAGCAAAAAAUCUCAGAAAAAUAAGUCUCGAAUUAUCCCGAUACUAGCGAUGCACCAAAUCAGAUAUAGUCUUUCAUCACCAUGGCAUACAACAAGGACGAGCAUGAAAAAGGGAAGUCUCAUAACCUGUUUGAUGCAUUGGGUCACAAGCAAGCAACAUCCCUGCAGGCAGAAACAACACUUCCUGCAUGCUCAUCAAAAUCCAACAUACUAACAUAUCCUUGAUCGCUCAUAUUGAGUAUGAUGGACUUGGCUUAUAUUCUGUUCAAAACAACAUCUAAAUUCUCCUAUAAGCCAAAAUUGCAUAGCAAAGCAACUGUACCAUUACAUCGGACAGGUCCUCGAUAUACCUGGAUUCUGCAUCGGCUUCAAGUGCGACACAUGGCAUUGAAUCCUAACCAUCUUUUCAGCUUAGGAUGGGGAAGAUGCGGGUAACAUGCUCAAACGGGAUGCUGUCCACUGUGUUCUUCUUCAGCUCUGGGUGGUUGUACUCGUUGCGGGUGAGGACGAUAAGCCGGGAGCGGCCAUGACCCUUCUCGAGGGCCCAGCCACUGUUGGCCACCUGGUACUCCAGAAACUUGUCCAGGGAGAGACCUUCAAUGUUGAUGGCCUGCUCGGACAUGAAAUGGCUUCUAAGAACAAGAACUUGAACAGACAGCAAAAUGACACCUGAAAUCAUUUGUCUAGGCAGUUUUCUGUGCUUCAGCUUUCGGAGAAAAAGAAAUAUUUUCUACUGGCGUUAGGCAUUGACUUCCAAAUGAAACACUUUUCACGAGUUAAUUGCUCUCUCUAGGAGUGUGACGAUGCGUUUAUAAUAUUUGCAUGUAGGAUGAGUCAAAUGAGUUCAAAUUUUAACUGCUAACUCUAAUUCACAAAUCCAUAUCAUUGCAACAUGGUGAUGAGAUAAGAAGUGGGAGAACCAGGCGACAGGACAGAUCACAGAGUCAUGCCAGUGAUUCCAAAUCUAAGGGAGGAGAAAAUGGAAGUUCUGAUGUUUCCCAAGUUACUGGUUUCACCCCUAGUAAUGGAUGGAGGUAUGGGCAUGGAGAGUGGAAGGGUUUGUGUAUGCUGAGUCUGGACAAUGAUCAGCAACCUGUAGUAGGAUAGGCCCAAAGUCAAGGGUAUAUAUAGUAAGUUACCCUGAGCACCAUGUAGAAUGCAACUAAUUCUGCAACAACACAUAAUACAUAGCAAGUUCUGCAGAGAAACUAUUCAAGGAUUAAGACACACAAGGAUCAUCAAAAAAUUGUAAUAAUCUCUUAACUACACGCCAAUAUCACAAAUCUGACAAAAUUGGAAAAAGAUUCAAAAUGAAAGACUACAGUGGUGUCUAGCAUAUCAUUAGCUCCAACAAUGAUUAAUAUUGAUAAGCAGAGGAUUAGCGGAUAAAAGGACUAGAAAACCAUCAAUACUGAAUUAUUCUUAGGCCUUAGCGGAGCCAACUGAAUCUAAAAGUUCACAAUGAUGCAGUCAGACAUAAGCUGAGCUAGCCCUUAGCAUUUUGAACAUAUAUUCACUUUACCAAACAACAAACAAAAAGCAAAAUUUAGGCCCUUUACUAUUCUGCAGUAAAUUUUGACCUACAACUCGAGUAUCAAAGCAAUGCUCAACAUCAGUUGCCUUGUUAGCAUGCUUCUGCAAAUCACAUAGCAUAUGGAACAACAAUCUAUGCCCAAGCAUAAAGUUAUUAAAAUUGGUUCAUCACAAGGUAUGCCGAACCGGUCCGUACCGGGUACGGACCGGUCCGCCCUGGAAUCCGGUACCGGAUCAGCGUGGAAUCCGGUACCGGUAGCUUAUCGUUGGAGAAUCGGUAUGUAACCGGUACGGAAUCAGCGUGGAAUCUGGAACCGAUAGCUUAUCGGUACCGGCCCGGGCCGCCACCGGUCUGCCGACCGACACCAGUACGGUGGAUCUUGGUUCAUCAUUCACCAAACGCAUUCAAGCCAAAUAUAGCAAAGAAAAAAGAUGAAGAACAAAGCAAUCUUACCUCUGCAAGUACAGGCCUGGGUACUUUCUGGUAUGUUAAGGAAAGGACAUGAAUUGCAUAAGCUUGGAUUGCUUGCUCGAAACCUGUGCCAUAUUUAUUUAAGUCAAAAUAACUUAACCAUGAUAUAGAUACACAUGCGCGCAUGCGCACUCCACACACACGCAUAGAGGAAGGAAAGGAGGGAGUAAUUUUUCUAUAUGUUAGCAAAAUGAGACAAAAGCUUAAGAUGUGUUCUUGAGCUUGGUUAAAAAGAUCCUGGCAGAAAGAUGCCUGCUAGAUCCUUCACCAACAAGCUAGAAAAUCCAAAAGGAAUAUCUUUUCCCAGAUCAACUUCCCCAAUCCGGUAAAAUAUUGGCCCAUGGCCAAAUAACUAGCCAGUUUGCUCGAUUGACAGCUUCAUAUGAAGUUUGGAUUAGUUAAAAAUUUUGUUAGUGAGCGAGUGUCUACAGGGAUAAGCUCCCAAAUAUCACAUGUUGUUCAAGCUUUCUGUCAGCCCAUAAACAUCAAGAAAAGGUGCUCUCCUAUGAUGACCUGUGCCAAAAGUUUCUGUUACAAAAAUUGGGUGUACAGGAUGGUUUUUAUAAGCUUUCCAUUUUAAGGAUACAAAGCAUUUACAAUGGAAUAUAAGGGUACAUAUUUCUUCAGAAGGCAGUUCAGAUCAUAUCAAAGAUAUGAAGGAUAGAAUACAUACAUAAAAGUUCAGGAAAGUAGUUCAAGUUCUCUGAAGGAUAACUACUCUGGAACUAGUUGAACUCUUAAAACCAUAUCUCAAGGAGCAUUUCAAGAGAGUCGUUGAAAUUUAAACGAAGCAGAAUCUCCAUAAUAUAUGGUUUCAGGCAACUUAAAGAUAGUUCCAUUCAUAUUUGUUAUUGAUAUAUAUGCCUGAUUACCAGCUCACUAUACAAAGUUCAUUUGAGCUGAGACUCAUAAUUAUAAAGAAUUAAGGGGAAAGGACAAAAAUAGGACAAAUAACUAACCGAACACUAAUUGAAAGUUGAAAUUAAUCAUGUCUGAGAAGCAAUAAACCCCACUCUUCAAAAGAAAUGCAUGCAAAAAAGAAAGAAAGAAAAGAAAGAAAGGAAAAAGUGAGAGGCGAGAUGAGAUAUGCUGAACAACAUUUUACUAGUAGCAAGCUUGUUAACAUAUGAGGAUGGAUCGGGAACAUUUCGAUCUCUUUACCUGGAACAACUUCAAGUACGCUGCGAUUCUUCCCAGCUUCAUCCCAAAAUUGACGAAAUCUUGCAGUCUGUAGUCAUCAAAAGGAUUUUAGAUUAGCAUCGUUCAUUCUGAACAUAAACAAAAAUCAGAAUUAGCACUGAUACAUACCUCUAGAUAGUGAGAAAGAACAAUCAGUGUCUUGAACUGCUCCUCCAUUUGCUGUCCAGAGGCAGAAAGGAAUAGAAGAGAAGAUUAGAAUGAUAAGAUUUUUACUUCCAAUAAUCAUCAUAAGUCUGAAAGCACAGUAAUCGAGAGGAGUGAACAAUUGGAUCUCAAAGUGGAGUUAUUUAGCGGUAAACUAAUCUAGGUAAUGUAACAUGGACCACUGAAUAUCAAACAAGAAUAGAGGGCUAAACCCAGCCAAAACUUGUCCAUCAAGCUAUCUGCAAUAGAAGACAUCUAACCUCAAGCAACAAUGUCAGCUACAAAGGUGGGUGCUAAAGAUCUGAGGGAUUACCAAAUAAAAUUAACCAUUUGAUUGUAAAGGAAUACAUCUUUUCCAUUCUCUAAUUAAGAUUUACCAUUAUCAAAGUACUUGUCACUAGAAUGAUGCGUGUAUAUCCAAAAACUUCAUAUGUGCAUGCACAACCUCAUUAGCAUCAUUCAUUUCUUUUUGCAUGAAACUCUCAUGCACAGAUUUCAUUUUCAAGAAUACUGUUAAUUAUGACUGACAAGAGCUCACCUUUCUCCAGACAGGUUCAUGCAAUAGGGAUAUAUACACAGAUGCACUGCCAAAAAAAGGGGUUACAUACCACUUGUUCAGGAAUCAGGAAGAGACAAAGGUUAAAAUCUGGUGCUGGCAUUGCCAUGAGAGCCUGUUAAAAGAUGAAAAGGUAAAUGAUGAUAUUGCCAUGAGAUGUGGCAAAGCAUGGAAUAGAACUUGUUCAAAAUUAAUUAAUAUCCUGCUUCCAUAUGUUAAUUUUGGAGUUAACCAACCUUGAUCAAAAUCCGAACUACAAUUGGAAUGCUCAUCCGUUCGGGCUCAAACUACAAAAGAAAAUAAUGUCAGUAGAGGAAAAUUAUUCUUAUAUUUACAAGCACAUAUUUGAUAGAUAAGGAAAUGGGUAUAAAUAACCUGAUAAAGCCGAAGGAGGCAAAGAUUUGCAUCCAAACUGUAUGUUUGAGAUGAAACCUGCAACGUGAAGCAAUCAAGGAAAAACUUGUAAACAUGUACAAGGAAUCCUAAUGCAAAAUUAAAAAGAAAGAAAAAUGAAAGAAAGAAAUGAAAAAGUGCAACAUACAAGCAGCAAGCUUUGUCAGAAUUCACAAUUGGUUCAGAUUCCGGAUUCUAAAAUUAGGGAAACAUAAUAUACAAGUAACUCUAGCUCAAGUUUAACAGAAAGAAUUGUUAAAAAACUCUAUUAUUUGAAAUUGGAAAUACAAGAGACAUCAUAAAUCCUUUCUAUUAAAUAAUAUCUUUAACCAAGGGAAAGGGUGGCUUGCUAGCUGAAUGCAUGCUUAUAAACUAAACGCCUGCAAUGAUGAGCAUGACAGUAGGUGCACAUCAUAAACAAGCAAGAAAGAAAAUAUAUAUGAGUGCGGUUUAGGUCUUCAAUGAAGUGGAAAGCCAGGCUCAAAGUAGCUGUCUAAUAGUUUUAAAGCAUACCCCUUUCAUAUGUGAUGGAAAACACAUAUCUCAAAAUCCACCAUGCAUAGCAAGCAGGCCGAAAGUGAAAUUAAGUUUCCACUUUGCAGCAGAUGAUCGCAUCCAAAAUAUAUACCUGACUAUUUAAAUCUGAUGAAGUUAGCCCCUUAGUCCUCUUUACAAAUCUUAAACCUUCUUGCAAAUUAGGAGAGGCAGAAAAGACCCAUAUGUGCUUUCAUAAACCAUAGUGCAUGAAUGAGGUCAAUGAAUAAAGUGCUUCAUGGCAUUGAUGGCUAACAUUCAGUAAAAACAAACUUAAAUACUAUCAAAUCUCACAACAAUUGUGAAGCAAGACAUCUGACUUUGACUACUGUGAGGUUGGUUUUAUUAAACAAACAAGAUGGCAUCAGAAAUUCAAUAUAUUGUUGCAGAAAACAGCAACAUUGUGCCUAAAAGAAAGUUACAGAAUCAACUUAAAGUCUAGACUUUGUGGAAUCAUGUUGAAUGUAAUAUUCAGCAAAUUAAGAAUUCCAAACAACAUAUUUCACAGGCUAUCAAGUUGCUCCAUCUGAGCAAAGGCAUGAAACAAUAUGUUCUUGAAUUUAGAAGAGAUUCAUGCUGCUUCAAAAUCAUUAGCAAAAUACACAUUCGGGCAGGAACAGAUAAAUGGAUCGACACUUAAUCAUAAAAAGGCCUGAUAUGGCCUAAAUUCAUGGUAACGAUUUAUAGAAACUUGCAAGUUAAGGAGGGCCAAUUUGGCAUUGCUAGGUGAGCAAUACUGGAAAUUUGGUUGCUUGGACAACUCAAGGCUUAUCAUUGCUAUCAAACGCUAGGUAUUGGGCAAAUGAGCACAAAGAAAUUUAACUAUUUUGCCAGGAUUAAAGCUCCAGAACAGUCUGCAACCAUAGAGAAGCCUAUGCCAUAGUUCAUGGAGCCAGCCUCCUAAUCAGGCAUCCUAAGUUCAUGGAGACAAAACUUUCAAUUCUAUUUGAUAGUUCAUGGAGCCAGCCUCCUAAUCAGGCAUCCUAAGUUCAACUUAAGGGUCUCUAAAGAGAGUGAAACGCCCAAUCCACCUUGGGCUUUCCCUGAUUGGUACAAUGUGUUUCUAAUGUAAUGAGGACAUGAAACAUUGUUGGAGGUUUCACCAAGCCAAAUGCCAAGCUAGAGAAAACUAUUUAACAACAGAAAUUCAUAUAAUUGGUUUUCUAUAAAUAUUAUUUUCAUAUAAUCACUGUAAUCAAGAUCCUUCACUGAAGAAACUCGAAGCCGAUCGACCAGCAAUCACGCAAAUGAAUAAGGCUAUCAUCUUCGCAAUUAAAUAAAUAAAAAUAGCGAAAUUUGAAAUCCAAAAGCUUAAAAGAUCCGAUUGUAACAGCAUCACUCCAAAGAACAUUUCCCGGCAAUCAAUAUAGCAAAGUAAAACAAAACUAAAAAUCCAUAUUUCUUCAAACAAACUACAGAGUUCAACAUUUCCCCGAUAAACGCUCGAUAUUGGGUAGGACAUCAAGAGAUUAAUUAAGAGAAGCUCACCUGCUCAUUGACGUAGUUCUCGAGAUCGGUGAGGAUGUCGGGGUUGUAGGGGUUCACGGCGACGAGCUGCUCCACCGUGUACGAGACCUGCUGCUGCUGGGAUUCUCGUUCUCUCACCAUCUCUCGAUCAAAACCCUAGAUCAAAAACCCUAAAAGCCCUAGACGAGAGAGAGAUCUGGGGCGAGACCGGAGAAUUGGGGGAAGAAUUGAAGAAACCCUAACCCUGACCCUGAUCUUGCAAGAGACCGGUGCCUCGACGAGCAAGGGGAUAUAUACCCGAGUGGACCGCAGAUCAGAUGAUCCUGGCCGUUGGAUUUAUGGGUCCCAUUUUAUGGCAGUCUCAUUUCCGAGGGACUACUGAUCGAAAAGCCUGGAUUGACUGCCAGAAUCUGGAGUGGAUGUCCCACGUGCAACCGAAAUCCAUGCAGGGACCUGAUCCGCGCCGUUCGUCGUGUCGAUAGAAACAAUCGCAUCCAUCUAUUCGUGGCGUCGCACAAGGUGGAGUCAUUCAAGAUCCAUUAGCCUGGCGAUGGCGAGGCCCUUUAGCCUAGAGGAAGUUCAAGACAACAACAUGAAAACCUUAAUUCAUACUAACUUGAUCCAGUAUUAGGUCAAGACCUCCUAAUCCAUAUCUAGCCAUAGGUCAUUUCGAGUCACCUCUUUAAUUCUAAAACUUAUUUAUUUUGCAAGAUUUAAUAUCUAAUAAAUCUAACUUAAUGCAGCAAAUACAAUCCUUACCGUUCUUAUUAGCUAAUUUUUAAAAUAAUUAAACAACUAGUAUUAUAAAAGAAAAAUCGGCCACUCUGAAAUUUUCAUUCAAGACCAUGACUCAAACUGACCUAAAUAAUUUUAACCUGAAUAGAGGGGAGCUCUCAUAUGCUUUGGAAUAAUUUAAACUCAUGCCCGAUCUUAACUAAAAUUUCUUGAUAAUAGGUCGGGUCAGGCCGAGUUUCCAAGCCAUGUUAGUUUUUAUCACCUCUACUUUAAAUUCCCUACCCUGCCCCAAACUAGAGAGAGAAUACUCGGGUGAUGUUUAAAGAAUUUUCAAUAUCACAAUUCAAAAAUUAAUCACGCAAACAAAACUUCAAAAUUCAAGACUCCUAAUUUAUAGUCAAAAGCUAGGGUGUCAAAUGCAGCACGUAAAAAGGUUUAGGGAUACAACAUUCCCAAUGGGUCAGAUUGCAGCAACAAAACUCUCUUAUCCACAAUCCCAUUUCCUAUUUUUCUUUGAACUUAGGCAUUGGUUUUGCAAUCCAACUGCGGCACAAGAUGGGCGAGAGGUGAAGCAGCGGUGACGUGAAGAAGAAAAGUGUCCAUGAACAUCAAGAAAGAAACUGGAUCAAGAAAUCUGCAAAUUGGUUGGGCAUGCACUUGGUCUCGCCAAAACUCUCUGACCCCUUCACCAUCUAUAUUGGCUUGACUAACGGAACCAAUUCAAGUAAGAAUUCAUUGACAUUUAGAGCAUUGAAUAUAAUUUUAGGGCUAUAGAUAUAUCAGCAUGCAUGAUUCAAAUGAUUAUUCAAUCUACAUAAUAAUAUCUAAGCUACAUUUGAAGGUAGAACGAGAGAGAGAGAGAGAGAGAGAGAGAGAGAGAGAGAGAGAGAGAGNNNNNNNNNNNNNNNNNNNNAGAGAGAGAGAGAGUAAAAAGUCGUUUAACCCAACAAGAGUUAUUGGAGUGCUCUAAGUUGGAUAAUUUUGAAAGGGCAAAAUAUGUAUUUAUGAAUACUGGUGCACAAGUUUUUGCCUUCCAGCCCCGUUUCCACCUAAUUUAAGAAUAAGUCACUCUAUUAUAUAUAGUUGAGUAAUUUAUUUUCAAAAAGUAAAGAAUAAUAGUAUUGCCAUCCCAUCUCAAUAAUCUAGUUAGCAACCAUGAGCAAGCACCAUGUUGAUUAAAAGUGAUGAAAUUAGAGCAAUAGAGAUCAUAUGAGUCUUGCUAGAUUGAUAAAAGGUCGAUCAUGAUAAAUUUCGUAUAGAUCGAAAGAGAAGAGUUCGGUCAUAAACAGGCUGAAAACUUAGACGUUGGCCCUGAUCAACCAUGAUACAUAGAAAUAGAUUAAGAUGACUGAAGCAGUCUCAAGAUAAUCUCAAAUAUAGAACUGUUAUAUAAUUAUCGGCCUAACAAUUGUAAAGCAACCAUGCUGAUGAACGUAUAUAGUAGGGGGAUAACUGGUGACAGUUACAAGAACCACUAAAAGUGGAGGCCAGACGUAGGAGCAAUCGUCAAAAUAAGCAGUUAUUAUUUAUUAAAAAUAAAUAAGUGAAAAUUGUGCUUUGGAAGAAACCCUUCGACAAUCAAUCCAAUAUGUCUUUUAUCUUAAUUUUACUUUACUAGUAGCUUUUUCCCUAAGAAUAGAUGCAACUUAGAUUUUUUUCAAUAGCCCAAUGCUACACUCCUGUCACAACCUAGUGCUAUUUUUUUUAUUGUAGCCCAACGUUAUAAUCCUUAUCCAUAUUCAAGACGAUGGUACAGUGACGAUGAAAGUCCUUGGAGAUUAAGAUACUUGGAUCCAUACUGCUCUCAAUCGUCCAUUCAAUUGCUAUUAUCAUUCUGUCGGCGGAUCAAAUGCCAGUAACAUGCCUGCACACUACAACCUCGUUAAGAUUGUAACUCGAGUCAUUCUCCAACGAUCAACUAAGUUUAUUGGAAUCUCAAAGUUUUCUGGUACUCGUCUGCAUGGGACGGAAAAGCCGGCCAACAAAUAGUAAUAAGUUAUUUUGCUUCCAGGUCUCGAAGGCUUUGUCCCUAGUUCGAACUCAUGUACAUGAACCGAUUACUCAUAUAUCUGGAAAAGUUUUUCAAAGAAAUCUUUCCCAUGAUUCCUAAACUCUCCCUGUCAUCCAAGCAAGAGAAAAAUGAGCACUUAUUGGGGCUCCAACUCUCUCUCUCCAUGGUCACCCCCCUUAUCCCUGAAUGCAGCCAGCCACCUUUCGCCAUGAACCAAUACCUAGAAACUUAUCACGCUUGAUAAAAUGGGAGUUGGAUGGAAGGGGCACGGAAGGCAGUGACAUGAUUGUUGGACGACGAUUGUUCUUGUUGGCCAUCCUUCGUAGUCCUAUUUUAGGCCUAUACAUCCGAAGUAUAAAGAUUUAGCUAACAAAAUAUAUAUAAUAUAAGAAUCUCUUACCAUCUGCGACAAAUAUGUGACAGAGGAAUUAGAAAAUAAAGGGAUCAAUAUAAGAAAGAGAUUGAUAUGCAUGAGGAAAAAUAAAACUAGAAUAGUUGUUUUCUCAAUUCUUAAUUGAAUCAUUGGUAUUUUUCCCUCCUGUGUGUAACAAAGUAUGGAAAGGAUAUUCUUUAUACCAUUGGAGGUGUUGCGGGAGGGGAGGGGCCUUGAAUUUAGUCCCACAUUGGCUAGUAGCGGGAAGGUUCUGUGCCUUAAAUGGGGGUUGGAAAACCUUUCCUCUCGAGGCGCAUUUUGAAGGCAAAAUCGUGAGGGCAGUGGUCUCCCCCCGUCUGCGCUAGACGCGCGGGCCGGAGCGCCCAAAGCGGACAAUACCUCGGGAGGAACGCAGUCCUUUUUCUCUGCUAGCUUAAUGUGGGCUAGGCUGUUGUGUGAGGCUCCGGCAGAAUGCCGUCUCCGCAACAGNNNNNNNNNNNNNNNNNNNNNNNNNNNNNNNNNNNNNNNNNNNNNNNNNNNNNNNNNNNNNNNNNNNNNNNNNNNNNNNNNNNNNNNNNNNNNNNNNNNNNNNNNNNNNNNNNNNNNNNNNNNNNNNNNNNNNNNNNNNNNNNNNNNNNNNNNNNNNNNNNNNNNNNNNNNNNNNNNNNNNNNNNNNNNNNNNNNNNNNNNNNNNNNNNNNNNNNNNNNNNNNNNNNNNNNNNNNNNNNNNNNNNNNNNNNNNNNNNNNNNNNNNNNNNNNNNNNNNNNNNNNNNNNNNNNNNNNNNNNNNNNNNNNNNNNNNNNNNNNNNNNNNNNNNNNNNNNNNNNNNNNNNNNNNNNNNNNNNNNNNNNNNNNNNNNNNNNNNNNNNNNNNNNNNNNNNNNNNNNNNNNNNNNNNNNNNNNNNNNNNNNNNNNNNNNNNNNNNNNNNNNNNNNNNNNCCUCGGGAGGAACGUAGUCCUCUUUCUCUGCUAGCUUAAUGUGGGCUAGGCUGUUGUGUGAGGCUCCGGCAGAAUGCCGUCCCCGCAACAAGAGGAAUAGAUUUAUUAAGCAAAAAAAGAAAAGAAAAAAAGGAUCUUUUCACAUUUAGCUAGAGACGCGAGCAGGAGAUAAGUGAUUAUGUUAGAUUUUGAGGUGUUCUGAAUUUUUUUUUUUUUUUGGUUAAAGAUGAGAUCGCCCUUAGUUUUUUUAUGCGUUAAUUGAAUAGAUAGAGUAGAAAAAGAUAAUUAGAGGGAUUAAAUUUCUUCAAUUCUAUAGUAUAAUAUUGAUCAACCAAAAUAUUGAAGCAAGAUCACACGAUGUGACCUUGCUUACAAGAGUAUAAAUCUUGAUCUCAUCCUCUCUUUGGUGAUUGGUAGAAGCCUACCCAAGAUCUUCUUCCUCGAAAGAAAUUAUUGGAUUUUUUUUUGCCGUGGCCUUAUUUCUUCGCUCGGAGAAAUUCUACACGUAUAAAUUAUUAAAAAAUACAUAAAAAAAUCAUAAAAUAAUAAAUACUUAUUUGAUUCAUUUCAUUAUAUCUCAAAAUUAAAUAGACAAUAUUGAUGAAGUGAAAGCAUAUAUAUUACUAAAUCUUUGCUGAGAGAAUAGCAUACAAAAGCCAGAUGGUAACUGCACUUCAUGAUUCACACAUCAUAAACAACUGGAAGGAGGUAGGAAUAAUGUGUUGUGUGCUAAAUAUGUAAUUUCUCAAUAAAAUCUUUAUAAAAGUAAGGAUAGAAAGAGACAUCGGGAAAGAGAGAUUUAACUAACCAUUUGGCUAGCUGGUAGAAUAAAGGAUGAGACUUGUAAGCAAACAUAAGCAUCUCAUGUCAUCGACAUGACGGAAACCGGCGUCAAAAAAUUUUGAUUGAUGUAUGCAGAUGAAUGUAAAUUAAGAAGUAAUCCUAAUUGGCAUUAGCAUAAGAAAAUAUCCUACAAAAUACGCAUAUCCAAUGUUCUAAGAGCAUCUUUUUCUGCCUCUUCGCAUAAACUAGGCUAAAAGUCAUACGGGCAAGGGUUCUAUGUUGUAUAACAAAAAUAUAUUUCCAUUACAAGCUGAAAACAUAAUACAUAGAGCAUUAAAAUUACAAGGGCUGUCACAUCUUGUACCUAAUAUUUCGACCAAAAAAAUGAAGACUUCAUUGCUCACCUAACAUGCAACUUCUUAUAUCUAUAUCACUACAACAAGGGCAACAUAAUCUAAUUGCAUCCUACAAAGCUCUUAUCCACAGCGAAUAUAAACAAAUAGAUUUGACCAAGCCCCUUGCAUGUGCAUCUCCCUCAAAAGGUCGUCUGAUUGGCCUGAUUUAGUCACACCGUCGUCGCCAUUUAGCUCUGGUAUGCAUGAAUAGCACCUUUAGAUUUUGGCAAUAUUCUCAAAACCGGGCCGGAAGGCGACUUGGUGCCCUAGCCAAUACAUUAAUUCACCGGCCAGACCGGUUUGAUCGACAAAUUCAACCGGUAACGUUAACAUGACAACAUACUGAUGUCAUAAAUAUUUUUGUUUUUCUAAAAUUUAUGAAAAUAUAAAAAAUCAGAAAAAUAAAGAAAAAUUUUCAUAUAUAUAUAUAUAUAUUUGAUUCAAAACUUUACUUGCACCAAGCAUUGGCCGACGAAGUGGCAGCAACUGUCGCCUUUUCCUUGGCAACACUGUCACACGAUACCCUAAUUCUGAUCCGCUUAAAGUUGAACCCUACAAUUUUGAUCCUGAUCCUUGUCUCAGCUCGAUCUCCAAUGGAAUUUCUUCCUCAUUGUCAAACCCACCGUCUCUCUUGGCUCUGACUCGUGCUUAGCACCGUCGCUUUGAGAAAGAUGGCAUUCUCGGUGGUGUAGAUAAAGAUCAGGAACGACUCAGCCCCAAUCUCCACUCCAUUAGAGUAGGCAGAGAUGGCGAUGUCAUUGCAGAGGACGAUGACAUUCUGGUUGGGGUUCCGGAUGGAGACGGCAAAAUCGAGGCGAGAGGUGAUGUUGAGGGUGGAGAGGUAGAAGGAGUCAAUGGAGAUGCUAGGUUGCUAAGGGUGGUAGAGGACAUAGAAGAUGCCGACGACAUUGGCAGCAAGGAAGGCGAUGGCAAUUAGGAAGAGGAUCAAUCGAGGCAAUAAGUGCAACAGCACCCGUCGUGAUAGGGGAGUGGAGCGUUGAAGAAAUGAACCAGGGUUAAAAAAUGGGAUUUUGGAAGAGCAUGCAAGACACUAAUUUGCAUAUUAAAGCAUAAAAGUAAUGUUAUCAUGGGAAAUCAGUGCAAUUCAUGUGAUUUGUUUCUGAUGAAUGUUUUGUGCUUACAGGAUGUAUUUACUCUGAAUUGGUUUAAUAAAUCCAGUAUACCAAAAAAUAAAAAUUUUGUAAGGGCAUAAUCCAUUUUGUUCAUUGAUAUGAUAUGUUUUAAGCUGAUGGCAAUAUGUUUAACCUAUCUCCCUCGACCAAUACACGAUCCACAUUCGAACAAUUACUUUAAGCAAACCAUCUUGGAUCUAUUAGCUCAUCGACAAGGCAAAAGCAAACACUAAUCUCCAUACAAGAAGCGUAUUAGUUUUUCUCAUAAACCUAUGUCAACACGAAUAUCCUAGUUCAUCAAGCCAUAUAAACUAACAAAACCGCCCAUAGAUUUCCCCUCCUCCAACCUAAUACCUCGCCAACUUGCAGUAAAUAAAUCACUCUAUUUGGUAAAUCCAAGGCAAUGUGGGCCAUCAAAAACCUUGUCCUUCACAUCUCAAACCACCUUCUUGGCUUGCAUUAGACUUCGUUUUUUUGGUUAGGACUUGCAUAAAGGCUUCAAAAUGACCCCUUCAUAUCGAUAACCUAAAUGCGCAAAUUAGAAAAUAAUAAAAUAAUGUCCGUUUUCUGGAACGAGCAAAGCACAUGACUUGUCACGUGGAGCCACGUCAUUUUAGCCGGUUCUGCAGGCGCAACACAAGCAACUUGAUAUUUUUCAGCAUAUGACAUACGUACCAUAGAAUCACAUGGUAAAAUUUUUCUUUCAUUUAUCGCACGAGACAAAGAAAGGUGUUGGGUUAUGGAUAUCAUAUCUCACCUACAUGAACAACCACAGCUCAUCAGAUCUGGAUGGUCCCGGGCUUUUAAUGGCUCAUCAUUCUUCAAGAGUCACAAUAUUAGCUAAACCCUAUUGGAUGAACAUCUACAUCGGCACGCUGGCUCGAUUGUUUGGAUGCCUACAGAGUAUGAGAUCUACUUGCUGCAAGUUGCACCAACAAAGAACAGCUGAAGCUUGCCUAUCCCCUCUAUAUCAAGUUGCAUAUUAUUUCAGCAAUGUCGCAUGAAGACAUACAGUAUUCUAAAGUUUUGGAGCUCUCAAAAUGAUGCUAGAGUGAUUUUUACAUGCAUGAACCAUCUUUACUUUGGUCGAUCUUAGAGGUAACGGGCAUGACUAUCCCUCUGGUGAGAUGGAUGGUGCUCAAGGAUGGCUAUAAGUUUCCCUCCUCAAUCUCUGUCAUGCAUGGCCAAUGGAUAAGGAUGGAUUUUGAGGGCAUGUGGCUAUUGUAAGAAAUUGGUUACUUUAUACGUAGUAGAAAUUAAAGAGAGGGGGAGCCCCGGUUGGGUCAGUGGGGUACAUCAGUUGGUGGAUUUUUCGCGAGUGCUUCUGACGCUUAGGCAGCCGAAUAAUUGCAAGCCUUUACGUGCAAUUCCAGGAACGUGGCGGGACCCUGCGGGCCACCUUGGGUUAGGUAGGGGCCUCGCGUCUCGCUGGAUCAGUUCCAAGCGGUGUCGAGGGCGGUCCCACCUCACCCUCCCCUAUUAUUUUUUUUUAUUUUUUAAUGCAUCUACAGCUCACACACUACGAAUUUGGUAGCAAAAUCAGAAAAUAAAACACCAUGUAAUAGCCCUGAAACCGACUCACUGUCCAUCCAAACAAAAUCACCAAAAUAGUAGGCCGCAUAUAUAGAAGACCACGCAGUCGGCUGUCUCGUUGUUAUUUUUGAAUACGUGUGAAGUCUGAUAGAAGGAGUUGCACUCUUUCAUCAAUUUACGAAUCUUCUGGAUCAACGGUCGAUCCUCAGUAGUACGUCUAUGUUUUCAGAUUCACUCGACUAUUAUGGCCGAAUCGUCCUUAAAAAUAAUAGGAUCUGCAGCCUUCCCGAUUGAAAGUCCCCAGUUGCUCUUGUUUUGUUCUGGCUCUAUUGUUAAUGCGGGACACCAGAAAUAAUCUAUUAACGUUAAAAGGAGUCCGUCCAUUUGUUUGGAUGGCAAGCUUGAGGUCAACCGUGUUGAUGGUUUCUUAUGGAAGUAAAAUAUAACAAAAAGUAAGAAGAAGAGAUUCUUUGUUAGUUGUUACUUCGCGAGACUUUUUGUGUCCUACUGUGAUGGAGAAGUGUAAUUGUUUACAGAGGGGGCGGCAUGGUGUUUCAAGUUUCAAUGUGCAAGGGAUGGAGAAAUUGAAAGUAGCUUAUCAAGAUAUAAGUAAACAGGGUGACGAUCUUAGAUAAUAAGAUUGCAUAGGAGGUUGUCUUUUGUAAGCACUUAUUAGGUGCAUUAUUUGAAUGUUUUGAUAAAUAAUUGAUGAACACAUUCCAAGGCCACAAAAUAUAGCAAAAAAAAUAGUUGUUUUAGUCCAUUUAAACUAUCAAUUAUUGGAGAGAUGACCGAUUGGAAGGCGACACAUUAAUCAUCCAAAAAAUUCGUGGACUAAAAAUUAUCAAAUUUGAAUAAAUCACUUUAUACUACCAACCAUAAUUUGGUGUGCAAAUCAAGAGAUUAAAGUUGGACAAAAUUAUACCACUAGUUUUAUUUCAAUGAGCCAACUUAUCAUUUUCCUUUUUUUUCCUUCUAUUUAAAGUCAGAAAGCUACAUACCAUCUUACAUCCGAGAUCGAAAAACUUUUUUCCAUCUUUAAAAACGAAUCUUAUAUAAAGGACCUAGGAUAUAACUGAAAAGAACAAUUAGUGAGCACAUUAUUUGUAUCUUUAUUUUGAUAUAGAACAUUACACAUCGCUGCGGAAUUAUCAUUUUUGCCCCCUCUAGUUAGCCCCUAAAAGUUCAUCAUCUAAAUAACUUAACUUUUAGUAAUUAGUCUAAUGUAACAAAAGGAUACUAGUAUUUUUUGAAACAAAAAAAUCUAGAUAGCCAUUAUCCAUUGGAUGGAAAAUAAAUACAAUACAAUACAACUUUCUUGUAUAUUUACAACUAGAGUCAUUAACAUUAAUUUUUGCACCUAACAUGAUGCUUAUAGCAGUGGCUAAUCCCUCAACCAACCAUAACCAUUUAUGAAUGGAACUUGAGGAGGCAGACAUUGUACCUCAAAACUAUUUUUCUAUUUUCAUAAAUAUCAGCGUAGAUGUCACAUAAUCGACCCAGAAAUGCUAAACAAAUGUCCAUUCUCUAAGAAAAAAUAAUUUAUGGCUACAAUUUUUUAUUUUAUCUCCAUCUUUAAUAUUUGUGCCAAUCACAUCAGGCUACAUUGUAGAUGGAAUAUUUUAAGACCCUGCGUGCUCUGCGAGUCUCUGCCAGCGAAUGCAGCGAAAGAGCGGCCGGAGCACGUGAUCGCCGUGCUUUGAGAAUCGUGGGCCCCCCGGAUCCGCCAACGGAUUUUAUCGGAUUGGCCCGCCGGAACCUGGAGUCCGCGCCUGCGUGCGCGCCAGCUCAGCACGAGGUCACCCCGGCCGUGCGGACCGGAUCCGGGUCGAAACCCUGCGGAUCCGAAACUCGUAGGGACGCAUCGGAUUCGGGCGAGGCGAUUAUCCCGCGAGCGGCGAUUCCUCGGCGCUGGCACUCGUCGGGUUUGGAGUUUGAUUACGUCGGUGGUGGUCCCACGGGAGAAGCGGACGGUCAGGCGUGUUCCGGUGGGUUGGAUCAUGGAUGGGUCCUUGUCGGUUGAAAGUUCCAGAUGCUGGAGCGAGACCAGAGCCGUCCAUCUCGGCAGGAUGCGUCACACCAGAGCACUGGUGAGGGCUCGGUUCACGGGAGGUCUCGCGUUGGAACGUUCUGCACGCCAAGGAUAGUCCAAGUGCCAAAAUGCCAAAUCCCUCUUUUCGAAAAUGAAAAAGUUUUUUUUUAUAAAAAAAAGUUUCAAAAUAAAUCCAAAAUCAAUCUGAAAAAGAAAAAAAUAAAAAACCUAAAAAAGCUCUAAAAAUACUCUUGAAGUUUCCAAGGAUUCACAUCUCUGAGCUUGCAUCAAGGAUGAAACAUAUGACAAUCAUGCAUUCAUCUCGGCGUGCAUUGAGUAUUGACACGUCACUCAUGUGGUAUAUCGGUAUCGAAUCGAUAUUUAUACAGUACGAUUUAUACCAUUUAAUUUGGACUGAUAUGGUGUACCAGACUUUCUAAUUUAUAACUACCAUGUAUUGAUAAAUAUAUUGUAUAGAUCUAAUUACAAUACUUAGAUCUUCUAUCUAAAAGGUUUUUUUAAAAAAAAAACUUGAUGGGGUGGCUUAUAAAAUGAUAACUAUUGUGAUAUGAAUUUUUCAUCGACAUGGAAAUGAUUAGACUAAUGGAAUGAUAUUUUAUCAAUUUUAUGGUUCAUGCAGGUCAAAAAAAAAAAAGUAUGCCUUACUAAUUAUUUUCACGGGACAUGUUUGAAAGAUCAUCCAUCCUGUUGCUGGAAAUUGGAGUGACCAGUGGCUGAGAAGAAGGAGCUCCGGCGAGAGUUGGCGAGUGGUGGUCCGUCGGCGGACGGCGUCCUCCGGGAGACCUAUAAAAAGCUGGUGGCCAGGAUUUUCGGCGUCGGCCCUCCGAUGCUUAAGUCAAAGGGGGCUAAUGUGUAGAAGAAGAGGAAGUAUUUUUUUGAGUUUCAGAGUCCAGCCCCGCUCUAAGAGGGAGGGAUUUUCCUUUUAUAGAGGGGUACAGGAUUACCUGUGAUGUGAUGGGGCGAACGGGUUACCGUCAUGAUUGAACAUGUCGUGUAAAUUAAUGCACGAUCGUGUGAAUUAAUGCAUUGCCGUGGGAGAUCAGGCCGAAGCUAGUGAGUCGUUGUGGCUAACCGAACGUAGCUGAGUGGGUCAAUUGUUUGCCGUGGAGGGCUUGAGAUCCGUAGAUAGCGUGCGCAUUGAUUGUUGAGUGAGCUGGAGAUCAACGGGGGUCAUGCGCAUUGAUUGUUGAGUGAGCCGGAGAUCUGCGGAGGCCAUGUGCAUUAAAUGUUGCAGGGCAUGGUCCCCGGUUGAGCACUCGAGCUGCAAAAGGAUGUGACCGUAGCAUGUGGAUAGUGAGGUCAGGCUUCCAAGAUCAAGGAUGCUGAGGUUGAAUAUCUAAGUCGGACGCCUUGAGGUCGAAUAUCCAGGUCGGAUGCCUUGAGGUCGGGCGCCUUCAGAUCAGGCGCCUUCAGGUCGGGCGCCUUCAAUCAUGUGCUGGCAAUGCACUCACGGGGCGAUUUAUUUUUUCCCCAACACAUCCAACUUUGGCUGAACAUCCAUUACAUUAUAACUAAUUAAUAUCAAUAAAUGCUAAAACCAAGUAUAACUACAAGGUGGUUGGUUACAAUAUUGAUGUGUCAUUGUUGAAGUAUAGAUCGGCAUAUGUAUCAACUAUCUCGCGAUACUUAUCCUGUACACGGUGACAUUGCUCGAAAGUCAAAAGUUCAUUACGUUAUCUAAUAUGUAUCCAUUUAAUAUCUAUUCAUAAGUGAUUUAUCAAUCAAUGCUGAAUUUAAUGAUAUAAUAGCGAUCAGUUAUACAAUUAAUGUGCUAUUAAUUUUGUUGAUGAGUAUGCGAGAAGUAUGUGUUUUGUAGUGUAAAAUGACCAUCUCAAGUAUCAGGAACGUUAUGGCAAACCAAAUUUAAUAACUUGAAUCUUCUAUUUAAUAAAACAAAUCAAAUUUCAUCACUGUUUAUAUUUUUGUUUACUCAACUGUUCAUGCUGACAGUUGCUAACUUAGCUAGUAGUCGCCUAGCUCUCCAGGAGAAAAUUUUUGGUCUCAGUUACAAAGUGAUUAAAAAAAAAAAUUGCUCUGAAAAAAUCUAUAACAGAUUAAUGAUAUCGGAAAUGAAUGAUAAUGAUAACAGUGAUGGACUAAAAUAUCAAUACAACACAUUGUCUUCUAGCUAACAACAAAUCUUUUGAGAAUCCACUGGCUGAAAGUUCUGAUAUUAUCACGUUAGGUGAGUUUAAAAAGAGUCAUGCCAAAUUCCAUGAAGUAAAAAAGCAAAAUAAGAAAAAUAAAAGACGUAAGUAGAGGCAUUUCAUGUAUAUAGAAAGAUGACAAAAAGAUUACAAUCUAGGCUUUUUAUAUAGUUUACAAGAGAGGUGAUAUGUUUUUUAGGCGAGAAGAAACUAGAUUAUGAUCUUUCUAGGUACAUUCUAUGUGCAUUUGGCGGUUCUAUAUUUGCACAUAAUUUUUUAGAGGCUUUUUCUUAGCACAAAUUUCAAAGACUUUAGCACAUUCAUAAAACUGCAGGCUAACCCUCGACACCAUCGUUACUUGAAAAUUUUAUUCUCAAGAAAAUAAUAAAUAAUUUUCCUCGGUUACAAAUCUAGAUCACAUGGGCAUUUGAACCAAGGUGUCACAAAUCUAAUAUCAUGGUGCAUUAUAGAGAAAAUGCUGUUAUCUAUACUUUUUUAUACGGUUCAUAAAGAGGUUGCAAUAUUUUUUUCAAAACCUAAGUGUGCUAUCACUUGAAAAAAAAACUUAUUCUAUAAUUUUUCUAUAUACAUUCGAUAUGCCUUUUGCCGGGUUUUACUCAGCAUACAAUUUUUUUAGUGCUCUUUUCCAUCCCCUUUUUAAAUAAUCUUGGAUAGUACUAAGAAACCCUCCAUUUAAUUGUAAUUUAAAAUUUAUACUUUUUUUAAAAAAAUAUAGGUAUAAUUCAUCUGGAUUAUGAUAUAUGUCAUAAUUUUUUUUAUUGGUACAACGGUAGCUCGUCCAUAUCGAGCAUAGAACCAACCAGUUAAAUCAAAAAAAAGCAUGAGGCACCACCGCGCGAGCAGUCUAAAUAAAGAAUCCAGCGUGGUGGGCAGUGAAUGAGUCACUCGGUCUACCGUAUUAUUUGCUUUUUUAUAAAUAUAUGUGAUUUUAUAUAUAUUACAUACAGUUAAGAGCUUGCGAAUAUAGCAUACCAGCGAUAUGAAACCAGCAUUAAGAUUUUAUAAUUCACCGGACAUUAUUACACAACAUUCCAUGGCUGCUUAUUUUGCACACACUUUAUUUAUUUUAUGCUUUUGUUUUUUCUCUUCUACUUAACUCGGUAAAUAAAAAAUAAAUGGAACAGACCGAGAGAUAAAAUUUGAACGGCGGCAGCCUCUUGCGACCCGGCGAGUGGAAGUUGAAAACAGGGGUGGAAAGGUAAAUAUCUCUUGACUUGACGAGAGACUCGAUGUUAGAAUUCUGACAAACUCGCCGAACCGUCAAAAACUCGGGCUGGAUAAAAUGAGAAAAAGUCGGAGCUCUGAAGUCCGAACCAACUCGAAAUAUUAAAAAAACCUUCUAUUUUCAGCAAACGCGAACUAAAGAAACCCAUCAACGGCUGUCCGCUUCCCAGCUACAAAACCCGAACCCGAAAAAGGAUAAAUGCUCUCCAUCUUCAUAAAAGAGUUCGUUUAUUUAUAGCAUACCGAGAGUCAAGGGGGGUGCACUUCAGGAAAAUACGGGAAGUGGUUAUCAAAUUCUGUCAGCUAGGAGAAAAACCGGCACCAGCGGCCGAGAGCGGUAUUGGUGGGGAGAAACAGGGGGAGAGAGACGGGAAGGGAGAUGGACCCCACCAAAGCUAAAGGUGGGAUCUUUUUUCGGGUAUAAAAGGGGCCUCAGGGGGAUGGCUUCCUUCAUCCCAUUGCCCCCAACUCCGUUCACUCCGUUUUCUUGAUCCCCUUUCUCUGUUGCGUUGUUUCGUUUCUCUUGUUUUCGUUCUUUUCUUCUCUCUUUGGGGCGCCAUUGGGGUCUCUCGGGAAGGUAAGGGUCUCUUCUCUAGUCUCUGCUUGGGAGGGAGUGCUGGUCUUCUGGGCUUAGGGGGGGUCGGGGAGUUUUCUGCGAGUACGGGGGAGUAGCUGCCCGUUUUCCACGAUAGGACUCUGUUACUGUUCCGAUCUGGUGAAAGAUUUCGACUUCCUUUGGUGUCGAUCUUGUUUUCAUGGCAAAGAUCGGUUUCUUUGCGAGUAGUUUGGUCCAGUUGCAGCAAAAAACCCUGGGUUUAUUCUCUGAUCUCGUCAAAGUUUUUGAGUUUCUUAAACUUGCUGAUCUUGUGUGCAUGGGAAAGAGACGUUCUUUUCGGAUUUUUUUAUUUUUUGGUUCGGUUGCAGCGAAAAACUCUGUUCCGUGUAAUCUGGUGUCUUUCGUGCCGAUCUUGGUGGCAUGGAAAAAGCUGUUUCUUUUCGAGUAGCUUGGUUAGAUUUAGGUAAAGAAACUCUGUUCUUUUGCAAAAUCUGGUGCAGGAUUUCGACUCUUCUUCUUGUCGACUACUACAUCUUGUUUGCAUGAAAAAGAGAGCUGUUCUUUUCGAGUAGUUCUGGUUCUAUUGCCGCCGAAACCUAUUUCUUUCUCCGAUCUGGUGAAAUAUUUUGAGUUUCUCGUGUACCGAUCUCGUCUGCAUGGUUUUUUAUCGAGUACUUUGUUUCGAUGACGGCAUCUCUUUUUUCUCUCUCUGAUCUGGUGAAAGAUUACGACUUUCUUUCGUACUGAAUACCGAUCUCGUUUGCAUGGAACAAAUCUGUUCUUUUUGGAGUAGUUUGGAUUGAUGACGGCCCAACACUGUUUUUUCUCCAAAAUCUAGUAAGAAAUAGGGUAGCUUCGGUCGGUCGUCGCUGAGUAACUGAAAAAUUUUUGCCUUCUUCCCACUUUUGAUCAGAGAUCUUCUCAGUAGUAACGUUUUUCUACAAGCUAUAUUCUUUUCUCCAAACUUAGUUAGGAUCUCGUCUGAUUUAAGUUGUCUAGUCGAGUAUAAGCAGAGAUCUUUUGAGAAAUCUGUGAAGAUUCGGCAAAAUAUCAUAAUUUGGUGGCAGAUCUGGUUUCUUCUUGAUUAUUUGCCAAAAAAAUCCUUCUCUUUAGAACUUCCUAUCUUGUUUUCUUUUAGAUCCCGUCCUCUCUUUCCACAAAUAUGGUUUUUUUUUAAUUUUUUGUAUAAACUCAGGGUUUCAUAGGAAACUGAACUACUUAUUGAAGGCCAAAAAUGAUACUUUUGCUCUCAGUUCAUAUUGCAAGCAUCUGCAAUUUCUUCUUCUUCUUCUUCGUCUUCUUCUUCUUCUAACUCUUUUCAUUAUCAAUUUCUUUGUAUAUAUGUAUGCAUGUAUUUUAAAUUAAGUUUCUGCAAUUUAUUAGUAAAAAAAUUCUAAGUUUCUUACUUAUGUUUCUGCAUUUUUAGUAAAAAAUUCUAAGUUUCUUAAUAUGUAUCCUUUCCUUUAGCUGAAGCAAGUUUUUCUUCCCUUUCCCUGGUCACCCUUUUGCUCUCUAAUGGAUAAGCAUGCGAGUUCCUCUGUCUCUGUCUUCUCUCUUAUUAAUAACAGUUAAAAAAAAUAACUUAAGUUUUUGUCGGUUUGAAAGCUUUUUCCAAGGAGAUCCGGAGAAACCAAAGAACUGUUACAGCUUUGAGCUUGGAGGGUCUCGUUUCUCUCGUGUUCGGAAUGCGAUACAGCUUGUUUUGUGUCGGAAAAAUAGAUCUCUGUUCGGAAAACGCCGUUUGGCACCUGCCACCUGCCACCUGCCACCUGCCCUUCCUCGCUCACUCUGACCGCAAUUCCUGUCGUUUUAUGGAGCCCAUCUGUCAGUAUUGGUGGUAGUUUAAACUACUAUUCAUUUCGACCGACUGCAUAUAUCAGAGAGGAAAAGAGUCUAUCUUAAUUAACAUUUAAUUCCCCUCCUUGUAUCUAUAUCUAAUUGUCUCAGUUAUUAAUUUUUACCAACUUUAUCUGUUCUAGAUUUAAUAUCCUUCUGAGAUCUGCACUUGUCUCUGCUUCUGGACUUUGGAUUUACCUUUUUUUUCAUUAUUUUAAUGUAAACAUCCCUUUUAAGUUUGCAUUAUCUUUAUUUUAUUUUAUUUUAAGAUAUGAUCAAAAUUUCAAAUUUGUUUGUAUUUGGUGCCGUAAUGUCAAAAAUUUUAGGUGCGUGUGGAGGGGUUUUUAGACCUGUGGGUUUUAGAUUUUCUUCUGGGUCGUCUUAUUUUGAUUUUUUCCCCCCCUUAAAAUCUCUUUGAUAGUAGUCUUGCUUCCAGUUGUUUCUGAUCUGAUAGGCUUUGGUUGCUGUUUUCUUCCUUGUUUUUUGCUUUUGUUGUGCUGUAGUCUGAGGCUUGAAGAAGGAAACAACAGAAGCCAUGGCAACUCCUCCUUUGAGUCGCAUUCACAGUGUGCGGGAGCGCCUCGGUGACACUCUGUCUGCCCAUCCGAAUGAAUUGGUGGCCCUCUUCUCAAGGUUGUGUCUUAACUCCCUUUGUGUUUUACGAUUCCUCUGGAAAUUUUCUGAUAUUUAAUGUUUGCAUCCAUGAUUUUUUGUCAAUCUGGAGGGUUAAAUACUUAGAUUUAGACAUUUGAUGGAUAUUAAACAUAUAAAUGAAUGCUCAAACUACUGUGGAGACAGCUUUCUAUGCUUUUAAUGUUUGAAGACCAAGAUCAGUGAACUAAUCACCCAGCUGCAUAUCUUCUUUCCCCAAAGUUUUCUCUUCCUGUUCUCAUAACCUCAAUUAUUUAUGGCAUGGAUUAUCCUGCAUAAUUAUCUAAGUCCUUUUGAUUGCAUGAUUCAUCCUGGAUCACUGGAAACGCUCACUGGCUUUCUUGUGAUAUAUGUUCUUUAGUGCACAGGUUAUGAGGAUUUCUGAUGGGUUAUCUGAUCGUUCUUUUCUUUGCAGGUUUGUUAACCAGGGAAAGGGAAUGCUGCUGCCUCAUCAGUUGUUAGCUGAAUACGAAGCUGUAAUACCCGAAGGGGAUAGAGAAAAGCUGAAGGAUGGGGUCUUUGAGGAUGUUCUGAAAGCUGCACAGGUGAAGCAUAGCUGGAACCUACUGCAUCGUGUUAUGCUUAACUUCUAAAAUCUUGUUCUUCAUUGUGUUAUGUAUUGUUUUUGUGAUACAGGAAGCCAUUGUUUUGCCUCCAUGGGUUGCUCUUGCUAUUCGCCCCAGGCCUGGUGUCUGGGAGUAUGUACGGGUAAAUGUGAGCGAGCUUGCUGUGGAAGAGUUGACUGUGCCCGAGUACUUGCAGUUCAAGGAAGAACUUGUGGAUGGAAGGUAGGAGAUACGAAUCCAAUAGAUCGUUUUCCAUGGCAAAACUAAUGUAUUUUGAUUAAAUCAUCAUAUUUAGUUGAGUAACUUAUUUCUGCCCUUUUUUCCUUUCCAUCUUUCAGUAGCCAAAAUAACAACUUUGUGCUGGAGCUGGACUUCGAGCCCUUCAAUGCUUCUUUCCCUCGUCCCUCGCUUUCAAAAUCCAUUGGCAAUGGAGUGCAAUUCCUUAAUCGUCAUCUUUCCUCAAAGUUGUUCCAUGACAAAGAAAGCAUGUACCCAGUACUUAAUUUCCUCCGAGCACAUAACUACAAGGGGACGGUAAACUUUCUACAGCUGUAUAAUGCAUCUAUCUGUUUUCUUUCAUUUUUUUUUUUUCUAAAGUUCAUUUUGAUGAAUCUCUGCUUUUAUAAGAUCUGUGGUCCUGUUAAGAAUCCAGAAUGAAACAUAAUAAGAAGACCUCCAGUAUGAUGUGAGCAAUAACCUGAACCAAGGGAUAUGAUAUUAAGAAUUUGAUCCAAUGCAAAAGUAUUUAGGCUGAUCAAUUGAAUAUUUUACAAGCAAUUAUGUAAUGGAAGAGUUUCCCAUCAAAACUAGAUUGUUGUUAUUUUCUGUAAUAAGUAUUAUAUAAAUUUAACAGCAGUAGAUAAUAGUGUUUUCAAUCAGUGAUAGAUCUUGAUGUUAAUCUGCUGUGGAUGGUCAAACAUUAGCAGAACUUUUGCACUGGUGAAUGGGGAAAAAUCAACACCCUUUACCACCGGGAUUUCCUGUUUGGUGCUUUCGGUUUCAUCCUAGGAUCAUAUUGUAUAAACCAUCUGAGCUAUUGAUCUUAAUUUAUUGCUGACAAAUUUUAAGUUCUAUGCUAAUUUUAUUUAAGCUACAUAAAUCAUCCAAGUGUUAAAAUUUUAAUGUGUUUCUAAUUAAGUUUAAGUCCUACACUAAUAUUAUUGUUAUGCCAUGCAGUCGAUGAUGCUAAACGAUAGAAUUCACAGCCUUAGUGCUCUCCAAGCUGCACUAAGGAAGGCCGAGGAAUAUUUGUUGAGUAUCCCAUCAGACACCCCAUACUCGGAAUUCAACCACAGGUAAAUUCUGUGCCAUUAUUUCUGUGGUUAUUGAUGAUAUUGAAGUAUGUUACCCACAGAUUCUUAUGCAGUUGAAAGUUUAAGUCAUCACAGCUGCUCACAUUGUUUCCCAUUUGCAUGAUGUUAGAUUUCAAGAGCUUGGUUUGGACAAGGGCUGGGGUGACACAACUCAGCGUUGUCAUGAGACCAUCCAUCUCCUUCUAGAUCUUCUGGAGGCACCUGAUCCGUGUACCUUGGAGAACUUCCUGGGGACGGUUCCUAUGGUGUUUAAUGUUGUCAUCCUUUCUCCUCAUGGCUACUUUGCCCAAGCUAAUGUCUUGGGGUAUCCUGACACUGGUGGCCAGGUAUAAUUCUAAAAUAAAAUUGAGUUAGAAAUAUAUCUGAGCUCACUUCUUUAACAUACAAAACCUUAAAUCUUAAUUUGCAGGUUGUUUAUAUUUUGGAUCAAGUUCGUGCUUUGGAGAAUGAGAUGCUACAAAGAAUAAAGAAACAAGGGCUCGAUAUCACACCUCGUAUUCUCAUUGUAAGUUCAAAUUGAUUUCUGGCGGGUUUCUUGUAAUGUUCUUUGUUUAUUUCCAAUAUAUAGAAAUCAUGGAGAAUGUCAUGGUGUCAAUUUAGUAACAAUAUGGAAUGGUCCACACUUGUAAUGGUCUUCUGACGUGACUCCCCUGUGAUCUAUUGCAGGUGACCAGAUUGCUACCUGAUGCAGUAGGCACCACUUGUGGUCAGCGUCUUGAAAAGGUCCUUGGAACAGAGCACACACACAUCCUUCGAGUUCCAUUUAGAACAGAGAACGGGAUUAUCCGGAAAUGGAUCUCACGUUUUGAAGUAUGGCCUUACCUGGAGACCUAUGCUGAGGUACAUCUUUCAUCAAUCUUUCUAAGCUUCCUCUCUGCACUUGCUUCCCAUUCAAUACCUUUCAGUUAUGAAAGAAAAUUUAUAUCGUUUUCCUUUGCGCUGUAGGAUGUUGCACAUGAACUAACAGGAGAAUUGCAAGCCAAGCCAGACCUGAUAAUUGGAAACUACAGUGAUGGAAACCUAGUAGCUUCUUUAUUGGCGCAUAAACUGGGAGUUACUCAGGUUUUGAUACUAGAACAUCAUUGACCCCUGGCUCUACUUAAUGGUGGUUAUUUUUUCAUCUGAAUUAAUAAUCUUUGUUCUUCCACAUGUAGUGCACCAUCGCCCAUGCCCUGGAGAAAACAAAGUAUCCAAAUUCAGAUAUAUACUGGAAGAAGUUUGAGAACCAGUAUCACUUCUCUUGCCAGUUCACAGCUGAUUUAAUUGCAAUGAACCAUGCGGACUUCAUCAUCACGAGUACCUUCCAAGAGAUUGCUGGAAGGUUGCUGUUCAUGCCGAUAGUGUCUUAAUGCACUAAUUUUUCGUUCAUAUUAAGAUGCAAAAAAUGCUACCGUUACCUGACUGGUUUCUUUUUAUGUUCUUCUGUUAUUUCAGCAAGGAUACUGUGGGACAGUAUGAAUCUCACACUGCCUUCACUCUUCCUGGGCUCUACCGCGUCGUGCAUGGGAUUGAUGUCUUUGAUCCAAAAUUCAAUAUCGUAUCCCCUGGAGCUGACAUGUCCAUCUACUUCCCGGCCACAGAGCAGCACAAGAGGCUCACCUCCCUCCAUCCAGAGAUCGAGGAGUUGCUUUACAGUUCUGUCGAGAAUUCUGACCACAAGUGAGAGCGUGUCUGCAUUACCUGCAUGUCUUUCCGUAUGUUAUUGUUCAAUUUAGUUAUUGACUCUUGAGGUUCUUGCAGGUUUGUUUUGAAGGACAGAAACAAACCCGUUAUAUUCUCCAUGGCAAGGCUGGACCGAGUGAAGAACAUUACCGGUCUAGUUGAGUUGUACGGCAGGAAUCCUCGUCUGAGGGAAUUGGUUAACCUUGUAGUGGUGGCUGGAGACCAUGGAAAAGAAUCCAAAGAUCUUGAAGAGCAAGCAGAGAUGAAGAAGAUGUACAGUCUCAUCGAACAGUACAAAUUGGCUGGUCACAUCCGAUGGAUCUCUGCUCAGAUGAACCGUGUUCGCAAUGGUGAGCUCUAUCGGUACAUUUGUGAUACCAAGGGAGCUUUCGUGCAGGUAUUCUUCAUCUUCUUAAAAGUAAAAAAAGAACAUGAUUGAUUUGUUCGCAUUUGAUAUAAUAUUUCUCACUCUUUCUCUGUUUUCUUUUGUUUAGCCCGCCUUCUAUGAAGCUUUUGGGCUCACUGUUGUUGAAUCCAUGACAUGUGGACUGCCCACAUUUGCGACUUGCUAUGGAGGGCCUGCCGAGAUCAUAGUGCAUGGGGUGUCUGGCUUCCACAUUGAUCCUUAUCAGGGGGACAAAGCAUCUGAACUGCUCGUAGAUUUCUUCGAGAAGUGCAAGGAAGACCCGAACCACUGGAACAAAAUCUCGCUAGGAGGGUUGCAGCGUAUUGAAGAGAAGUAAACAUGAUAUUUUCUUCGAACAACACUCUUUCAUGAAUUGAAGGAGCUUGUAUGGAAGAUUCAAGACUUAAAAUCUUUUUAUUUUGUGCUCUUCUUGGAAUUAAUGCAGGUACACUUGGAAGCUCUAUUCCGAGAGGUUGAUGACCUUAUCCGGUGUUUAUGGCUUCUGGAAGUACGUCUCAAACCUGGAUAGGCGUGAGACCCGUCGUUACCUCGAGAUGUUCUAUGCCCUCAAGUACCGUAACUUGGUAAGUCAGAUUCAUUGAUGGGUCUACUUGUUGCUUGAGAGACCUGAUGCGUUUCCUUCUCACCGCUGGUCUGCUUUGUUUCAAUGUCUAAUUUCAGGCAAAGUCUGUUCCUCUGCAUGUUGAUGGAGAUAUUGCAGCCAAUGGCACUAAGUAGUCUGGAUGGGAGGCAAGCACGAGUUCUGUUGUCAGCUUUUUUUGAUUUAAGAGAUUUAGGAGUAACUUUGCUUUCUGAGUUCUUGUUUGCGCCAUUGUUGCUUAGAGCUGAUUUUGGAGCAAUUUGAGAGUGUUUGCUGUUGCUUUUUAAUUUCCAUGUUAUGUAAGGCUUAACUGCCUUUUGUUAUUUAAUAAAAUAAGUAAUAUUUUCUUUCUCAAAAAUUUGAAAAAUUGGAUAAAAAAGUAUGCUACUCAACUUUUGAUGCAUCAUGAGUAUUGUGCAUGGUGACAAGAAUUUCUAGUCUCUGUACAAUUGGGACAACAUUUUGUGAUGCUUGGUUCAUGUCCAAGUUAUGUCGUUUCCGAUUGAUUAGCUGGUGGAAGGUUUGCAGUGGUGUAGGUUGCAUCGUACCUUAGAGAGAAAUGGAGUAUGCAAAAAAAAUUACCAGUUUCUAGAGGUACUCUAGGGAAGUGAAAGGCCAUCUUUUCUUUUUACUAGAUGUUAGAAUCUUCUGGGGUAUUGCCUGUUGGAUUUUGUCUGCAAUAUUUUGCAAUUAGCCAUGCGCGCCCCACCUCGCCCCGCUGGAAAAAAAAAAGAGAAUCUUUCUUGCUUUUAAGAAAGUUGCUCCACCGUUCAACUUCCUCUGUGAUUUGUCUUGCUUGACUUCAUUGGCAUCAAAGCAUAGUAUCUUUUCUCCUUUUCUUUUCCCUCCCAAUUCUGUAAAGACUGCUUAAAUAUCAUAUCUCAUGGACACAAAGUUUAGAAUGCUUUUGGGAAAUAGAUGAGAAAAUUGUGCAGUAAGUGUUGCUUUUGCACUUGGGUCAAACGUCUACAACGCCUGAACUGAUCACGUUGGUGGCACCAAGUGCAUUUUUUCUUUCUGAAAAUUCUUUUCAAGUUUCUGUAAAUAAUUAGGAGUAAACUGAUUCUUCUCUUUAUAUGUUUCCUUGGCAUGGUGUAAAACAAAGCUGCCUGUUAUGGUAAACUAGUUUGUUCUGUUCUCUAUUAUAUAGAUUUCCUUAUGAGAGUUUUUGGCGAUACUUCCAUGUUUAACUUGAUUCAGUCCAUUGUAGGUUGGGUUGGAUUGCCAGUUUAAUAAAAUGGUGAGAUUUGUGUCCAAAUAUUUGACCCAUUUAAUAGACAAGUCAGGUUCGGAAUAACAAAUUUUUGAUCUAACCUGUAUCUGACCUGACCCAUAUCUCGCCCGACCCGAUCCAGUUAUCACCUAAAAUAUCCAUCAUAACUCAGGACGUCAUCCAAAAAGGCUAGUCAUAAUAUAUUAUUUGGAUUUUUUAGUUCUGUAUAAGUAUUCAAGAUCUAUCCAGAUGUAGGACUAAACACAUGUCCACACAAAUUCGCACAUAUUCUUCUGGUUCAAGUCCUGGCGUCCUUCUCAAUUAACAGUCUAAAUUAAUUCAAUUCUAAUCACAAGCACCACAAUACAAUAUAGAUAUGUGCUGCAGUUUCUUCUAGUCUACAUAGGCUAUGGCCAGGAUUUACUCUGAUACCAUUUGUCAUAACUCAUGACCUUACUUAAAAAGCUAGCCAGUAUAUUAUUCGAAUUUUUUGGUCCUGUUUAAGUACCAAAGAUCUACCUAGUGCAUAGCCGAUUUGGGACUAAACACAUGCCCCUCACAAUAUCAGUCUUUCUUUUAUCUGAGGUUACUGUUCUCGGCUUUCCUACAUGACCACCCUUUUCUCAUUAGAUAAGCAUACAAUCUCUCUGAUUUUCUCUAUUAUCCUAUGGAGAAAAUAGUUUAAAGAACUUCAGUUUUGUUUUUUAUGUCCUUGAAUCCUUUUCCAAUAGCUUCGAAGACUCCAGAGAACUUUAGCUUUUAGUCUGGAAGCAUUCACUUCCCUGCCUAAUGUAUCAUAACCAUUUAGCGUUGGAGAAAGAGCUCUGUGUUCAGAAAAGUCGACACCUGCCACCCCCUUUUUCCCCACCGACUGGUUUUUUCUGUAACCAACUUCUCAGUAUUGAUAUUGACUCAGAAAAACGUUACCUCUUAGAAAUUAAUGAGUAACGCACAUAUUGAUGGUUGUUUUAAGUUUCAGUUCUUUUCAACUGAUGCACUGUCGCUUGUCAGUUCUAGCAGAGAAGAAACUAAAAAAAAUGUUGUUAACAAAUUUGUAGUUCCCUUGAUUGUAUCUCUAUAUAUAGGUACUCUUCUCAGUUUUGACUGUCACACUCUCAUCCACCUCUAUUCUCUAAGAUCUGCAACUUCUCUGCUUGUAGGAUCUUAAGCUCUAGGUGAGCAGACUCUGAAGUUUUUUCUCUGAAAAUUUUCCUUUUAAUUUGUUUAAAUCCUUGGCUUUGUUUGAUUCUUGAUUAUUUUGGGUUGCUCUUAUCUAAUUCCUAAGAUAAUCAUCUAAUUUACAGAAGUCGUCUUUUAUCUGUUUAUCAUCUAUUAUCUGAUUAUUUAUUUGCAUGGAUAAUGGUCAAAUUUUAAAUUUGCUGUGUUUGAUGCUUUCACGUCAAAAAUCUAGUGCAAGGGGCGUGUGAUUCAGGAGAGAGUUUUGGGUGAUUUUUUGCAUGGUAAAUUUCAUUCAGUGGUUUCUAAAAUGUUCAGUUGCUCUCUUCUUUUUUGUUUUCAUUGAAGUCUGAGGCUUUUUGAGGCUUGAAGGAGGAAAGAAGAGAAGCCAUGGCCAACUUUGCAUUGAAUCAAAUCUACAGUGUUCGGGAGCUCCUUGGUGAUUCUCUUUCUGCCCAUCCAAAUGAACUGGUUGCCCUUUUCUCAAGGUUUUGACUCUGUUUCUGUAAUGUAACUCUUGUGAAAAUUUUCAGAUAGAAACUGAUCCUUUAAUAACUUGUUUCAAGCUAUAUGGAUUAGAACUAGCCUUCUUUGAUUGGUACAUUGGUUGUUCUUGUUACGAUACCAAGCACCUUUGACUCAUAGUCCAGUUCUCUUUUUCCACAUGAAGAAUGCAAUUGAUCAUUUAUAGCCUGGACUGCCCUUCUCGUUUAGUUAUAACCUUCUUGAUUACUCAAUUUCAUCAAUAGGUUUUUUUUUUUUUCCACACAGGUUUUGUUGCACCAAGCACUGUAUGUGAUUUGAUUCAUAUAUCAUGAGCAUUGAUGACGAAAGAUAUCUUUUUUUUUUAUAUAAAUUUAUUCACAGGCUUGUUAGCCAGGGAAAGGGAGUGCUGCAAUCCCAUCAGUUGUUAGCUGAGUAUGAAGCUGUAAUACUUGAAGCAGAUAGAGAAAAGCUGAAGGAGGGGUUCUUUGAGGAUGUUCUACAACAUGCACAGGUUCUGUACAGUGAAGACCUGCGCCAUGUUAUGUUCUAACUUCCAAGUUGUUGAUAGUUCCAUGGUGCAUUGGUUUGUGAUACAGGAAGCAAUUGUGAUACCUCCGUGGGUUGCUCUUGCUAUUCGCCUGAGGCCUGGAGUCUGGGAGUAUGUACGGGUUAUUGUGAGUGAGCUUGCUGUGGAAGAGUUGAGUGUGCCAGAGUACUUGAAGUUCAAGGAAGAACUUGUGGAUGGAAGGUAGGUCAUAUUGUUCUAACAUUAUCAUGUUCCUUGUUCACUCUGUCACAUAUAGCCAAGUAGCCUCUCUCUCUCUCUCUCUCUCUAUACAUCUCUCGUAGGGUAAAGUUACUCUUUCCUUUUCUUCCUUUUCAGUACGACCNNNNNNNNNNNNNNNNNNNNUCCUCUCUCUCUCUCUCUCUCUAUACAUCUCUCUGGGAAAGUUACUCUUCCUUUUCUCCUUUUCAGUAGCCAAAGUAGCUUCACCCUGGAGUUGGACUUCGAACCCUUCAAUGCUUCUUUUCCUCGUCCCUCAUUGUUGAAAUCCAUCGGCAAUGGAGUGCAGUUCCUUAAUCGUCAUCUUUCCUCAAAGUUGUUCCAAGACAAAGAAAGCAUGUAUCCACUGCUGAAUUUCCUCAGGGCAUGUAACUAUAAAGGGAUGGUAAAUUUUUCACUAUAACUGCAUGAUUCAUUCAUCUAUGAUAUCUUAUUUUCCUAAAAUAGAAUGAACAAAUCUCUCCUCUUUGAUUUUUUUAAAUUUUUUAAAAAUUUUAAAAUAGAAUGACAUAAUCUUCCUCUUUUAGCAGUUCUUUUGUCCUUAUAACACUUUGGAACCAAAAUGAAAAGACAUGCAAUAUGAUGUGUGAGUGGUGAAGUAACAUGGCGACAUUACUCAUAACAAUGCAUAUUUAAUGGGAUCAGGAUAUCAAGAAUCUCAUCCAAUCCAAAACUAUUUAGGCAAAUCAACUGGAAAAGAAACAAAUCCACAUAUAGACGACAGUUAUUUAUUUCCAGGAAGUAUUAGGUGAAAUUGCCAUAAAUAGAUAGUUUGCAUUUCCAAUCAAAGAUAAUCAUGGUGUUAAUAUGUUAGUGAUAGGUCAAAUGUUAGCAAACCUUUUUAUCAAUAAACAGGAGCAAAUCAGCACUUCAGUUUCCUGUUUACCACUUUCUUUCUAAGACUAUGUUAUAUAAGUUGUUAGAGUUGUUAAUACUUCAGUUUAUUUCUGACUAGUAGUAAUGUUAUUCUUGUUAUGUUAUGCAGUCGAUGAUGCUGAAUGAUAGAAUUGGCAGCCUCAGUGCUCUCCAAGUUGCACUAAGGAAGGCAGAGGAAUAUCUGUUGAGUGUCCCUUCGGAAACUCCAUCCUCAGAAUUCAACCACAGGUAAAUUCUGUGGUGUCGAUUUCGGAGUUAUUGAUGAAACUGAUGUCAGCCAAAGAUUUCUUAUACAGCACAAAGUUUGUUAAGUUGUUCAACUGCUUACAUUGUUUCCCACUUGUAUGAUGUUAGAUUUCAAGAGCUUGGCUUAGACCAGGGCUGGGGUGACACAGCUCAGCGUUGUCAUGACACUAUUCAUCUCCUCCUAGAUCUUCUGGAGGCACCUGAUCCAUGUACCUUGGAAAACUUCCUUGCUAUGGUUCCUAUGGUGUUUAAUGUUGUCAUUCUUUCUCCUCAUGGCUACUUUGCCCAAGCUAAUGUUUUGGGGUAUCCUGACACAGGUGGCCAGGUAUAAUUCUAAAAUAAAAUUGUUUUAGAAACAUAUUACAGGAUUCACAGCUCACUUCUUUGACAUACUAUUCUGUAAAUUUGCAUUUGCAGAUUGUUUAUAUUUUGGAUCAAGUUCGUGCUUUGGAGAAUGAGAUGCUACAAAGAAUACAAACGCAAGGUCUUGAUAUUGUACCUCGCAUUCUCAUUGUAAGUUCAAUUUGAUGUCUCAUGGUUUUCAUAUACUGUUAAUUGGUUAUUUGUAGUCUAUAGAAAUUAUGAAGAAUAUCAUGGUGUCAAUUUAGUUGCAAACUUGCAAUAUGAAAGUCUCCACAUUUGUAAUGGUCUUCUCCUGAGACUAUCCUGUGAUCUAAUGCAGGUGACCAGACUGCUACCUGAUGCAGUAGGCACCACUUGUGGUCAGCGUCUUGAGAAGGUCCUUGGGACGGAGCACACUUUCAUCCUUCGUGUUCCAUUUAGAACGGAAAAUGGAAUUAUCCGAAAAUGGAUCUCACGUUUUGAAGUAUGGCCUUACCUGGAGACCUAUGCUGAGGUACAUCUUUCAUUAAGCUUCCUCUCUGCACUUGCUUCCCAUUCAAUACCUUUAUGAAAGAAAAUUUAUAUCGUUUUCCUUUGCGCUGUAGGAUGUUGCACAUGAACUAACAGGAGAAUUGCAAGCCAAGCCAGACCUGAUAAUUGGAAACUACAGUGAUGGAAACCUAGUAGCUUCUUUAUUGGCGCAUAAACUGGGAGUUACUCAGGUUUUGAUACUAGAACAUCGUUGACCCUUGGCUCUACUUAAUAGUGGUUAUUUUUUCAUCUGAAUUUAAUAACCUUUGUUCUUCCACAUGCAGUGCACCAUCGCCCAUGCCCUGGAGAAAACAAAGUAUCCAAAUUCAGAUAUAUACUGGAAGAAGUUUGAGAACCAGUAUCACUUCUCUUGCCAGUUCACAGCUGAUUUAAUUGCAAUGAACCAUGCGGACUUCAUCAUCACGAGUACCUUCCAAGAGAUUGCUGGAAGGUUACUGUUCAUGCCAUUAGUGUUUUAAUGCACUAAUUUUUCGUUCAUAUUAAGAUGAAAAAAAUACUGCUGUGACCCGACUGGUUUCUUUUUAUGUUCUUCUGUUAUUUCAGCAAGGAUACUGUGGGACAGUAUGAAUCUCACACUGCCUUCACUCUUCCUGGGCUCUACCGUGUCGUGCAUGGGAUUGAUGUCUUUGAUCCAAAAUUCAAUAUUGUAUCCCCUGGAGCUGACAUGUCCAUCUACUUCCCGUCCACAGAGCAGUACAAAAGGCUCACCUCCCUCCAUCCAGAGAUCGAGGAGUUGCUUUACAGUUCUGUCGAGAAUUCUGACCACAAGUGAGAGCGUGUCUGCAUUACCUGCAUGUCUUUCCAUAUGUUAUUGUUCAAUUCAGUUAUUGACUCUGAGGUUCUUGCAGGUUUGUUUUGAAGGACAGAAAUAAACCCGUUAUAUUCUCCAUGGCAAGGCUGGACCGAGUGAAGAACAUUUCCGGUCUAGUUGAGCUGUACGGGAGGAAUCCUCGUCUGAGGGAAUUGGUCAACCUUGUAGUGGUGGCUGGAGACCAUGGAAAAGAAUCCAAAGAUCUUGAAGAGCAAGCAGAGAUGAAGAAGAUGUACGGUCUCAUCGAACUGUACAAAUUGGAUGGUCACAUCCGAUGGAUCUCUGCUCAGAUGAACCGCGUUCGCAAUGGUGAGCUCUAUCGGUACAUUUGUGAUACCAAGGGAGCUUUCGUGCAGGUAUUCUUAUCUUCUUAAAAGGAAAAAAAAGCAUGAUAGAUUUGUUCUUAUUUGAUAUAAUAUUACCAACCAGAUGACGAUUUUUACUCACUCUUUCUUUGUUUUCCUUUGUUUAGCCUGCCUUCUAUGAAGCUUUUGGGCUCACUGUUGUUGAAUCCAUGACAUGUGGACUGCCCACAUUUGCGACUUGCCAUGGAGGGCCUGCGGAGAUUAUAGUGCAUGGGGUGUCUGGCUUCCACAUUGAUCCUUAUCAGGGGGACAAAGCAGCUGAACUGCUUGUAGAUUUCUUUGAGAAGUGCAAGGAAGACCCGAGCCACUGGAACAAAAUCUCGCAAGGAGGGUUGCAGCGUAUCAAAGAGAAGUAAGCGUGGUAUUUUCUUUUGGCAGCAUUGUUUUUCGAACUUAAAAGUAGGUUGUCUAGGAUCGUUUAAGUUCUAAUCUCUGUACUCUAACUUUGAGUUGAUAUAGGUACACUUGGAAGCUCUAUUCUGAGAGGUUGAUGACAUUGUCUGGUGUCUAUGGCUUUUGGAAGUAUGUUUCCAAUCUCGAUAGGCGGGAGAGCCGUCGUUACCUUGAGAUGUUCUAUGCCCUCAAGUAUCGUAAUUUGGUGAGUUUACACUCAUUGAUCAGUUAACUUGAUGCUUGAUACUUGCUGCCUUUUUUUUUUUUUGUAAAUAAUAUCUGCUUUGCUUCAAUCUUCAAUUUCAGGCAAAGUCUGUUCCUCUGCAUAUUGAUGGAGAGGCCAUAGCCAGUGGCAGUGGCGCCAAGUAGUUUGGAUGGAACGCAAUUUGUUUUGAUUUUAAGAGGUUAGAAGGGAAAGUCUUAGUUGUCGGUGCUGUUGAUGUUGAGGCCUGGUUUUCUUGCAAAUUGGAAUGCUGUUUGUUGCUAUGAAUAAGGCUUAAAUACCAUGUGAUACUCAAAAUAAACCUAGUAUCUUUUUCUUUCUCGGAAGUUUGGCUGUGUACCAGAGUGGAUUGAUCUUUUGCAUUAUUUAUUGGUGAGUCAACUGAAAUAGGAAUGGUCACUGCCCGAGUGAUCCCUUUGUUCAGACAGAACAUGGAGAAACCUGUGCCUGUGCCUUGAACAAGCAAGGAAUCUCUCUCUUGGUUUAUAGAAGAUCUCCCUCAACCUGCUGCGAAAUUUGGAACACAAUGGUUCGUAGGGUGGAAAUGAGCUGAACAUGAGUUGGGCUAAGCCUAACUCUAGCUUGUCUUGUUUUAUAAUCGAGCAAAGCCUAUACUGCUUGUGAAUUAAUUUUAAUUCAUAUUUUGCUUUUAUUUAUAUAAUUUAGAGUAAUAAUCUUGAUUAUAUCUUAGUUUUCUAGUUAAAUUCUAUUCUCCAUAACCUAAAUUAAUUUAUAAUAAUCAAUUAUUUUUAUAAUUAAAAUAACAUAUGUUAUUGUUACAUUUAAAUUUUGAGGUACUUUUAGCUAAGCUCAAAUGAGCUAAGCCUAGCUUUGGUUCUGUUUGUUUCCUACCAAGGCAAGUUAAACUUGAGUCAAAUUCCAAUGCCAAACUUCCCCUCCUCAUAGAACACUUGUCAAUAUACAAUACAUGCAUACGUGCAAUAUAUGUAUAAUGUAUAUAUUGAAAAUGUACAUAGUUAUAUAUAUAUAUAUAUAGGUUCUAUGGAUCUGACAGACAUGAAUGAUGUUGAAGCUAAUAAAUCAUCGGUGGGUCAGAAGAUACUUUCUAACUCUUUAAAAUAUUUUUGAAUGAAAUAGAAGUAUUUAACAAAAAAUUAAAAAGUUGUUUUAGUUUUGUAAGAAAGUAUUUUUCGAAAAAAAGUACUUUCAAAAAACCUCUAGCGGUAGGUUUUGUACUUAAUUUAUCGUUCAACUAGGGACUUAUAUAAAAAUUUGCUUAACGCUAUUUAAAAGAAAUAAAAGAAAAAGUUUAAGAUAACUCGGAGUCCCAGCGUAGGCAGGCUCGCAGGUCGGUGGAGGAGAGAUGCCCCACGAUGUCCUCAAUUUGCCCUUAUAUAUAUAUAUAUAGCCCCAUCCAUGGGUGUGGCAAUUGAAACAGCCAUUGGAGGGAGGCCGCGUGGCCAAAACCGUGGAUGGCGAUCGCGCCCCUUCUCCGCCACCGCCAUUGCUGCCGGCGCCUACGAUCUCUCUUUCCGUCUCGGAGGCGCCACCUCCCAACGUCGUCUUCUCAUUCGCUCCGUUUCAAGCCGUUCAUCUUAUCUCACAACCUGGGAUCCGGAGUGCCUUACGCACGAAAAAACCCCUACAAAGCAUUGGGAUGCCCUGUACGAAUCGGCGGGAGGGGAGGCAGGGGGCCGGCUUGCGGGGGCGGAAGAGGCGGUCGAGGAGGCAGGAGGGGUCGUCGUCGCCAUCAGAGGGGUCAGAGGCGGCGGGCUCAAGGGUGGGGGAGGAGGUGGACUAGAGGGAGAGCCCGAGAGGUCGAACCAAAAAAAAUAAAAGAAAAAUAAGGGCACCGAUGCCCAGGUGAACUUUGGAGAGAAUAUUUUAAACGGAUGACGGAUCUUUGUGGGCUGUAGCCCUUUUCCAACCUGACCCAUAUAUUGAACAUAUUAUUAAACAGGUUAUACAGGUCAAACGGGUCAUACAUCUUAAACCUGUAUCCGAUCUUAAUUAAUAAACAGGUUAAACGGGUCAACCUGUUUAUGAUCCGAAUCUGUUUAAGCCAAAUCCAAACCUGUUUAUGGCGGAUCGAAUAUGGAUCGGAUUAGCAGGUCGGAUCAUAUUUUGCCACUCUUAUUUGUCGCUUUCUCUUUAUCACUUUUCCUUCUACUCCUUUAAAGGGGUUUUAUAAACUAAAUACCCUUUCAAUCAGCCUCUCCCCUGCCACUUCUCUUCCUUCUUUAAGAUAGGAAGGCAUUUCACAAUCCUAAAUGCUUCACAUAGUUUGCAGUCAUCAACAUAUUAUGUAAUUCAUGCGGAUGUAAAAACUCAACAAGGCAAUCACUCAUAGAAGCCAAAAUGCACAAAAAGUUGCUCACUCGUAGAUGCCCAAAUACACAAUAAGUUCCUCAAUUAUACUAGCCCAAACAUAACGGUGAUAUCCAAUACAUUUGAUCUCGAAGUCCAAUAUAAUCAGGACAGUUGAUGCAAAGCAGUGAGUUCCAUCUCCUAGGAGUUUACUGCCACACAAAGCAAGACACCAUCAGAUUCCAAGCCACUGAUGUUGUAGUUGCAGCUAGUAUAAAGAUUGAAAUAUUUUUCUACUUUAGUUUCAGAUAGGUAGAGAUCAAGCAGACCCAUAAAACCUAGAGCUUAUAUGGAUCAUUGGCUUUCAGACAGGUUUGCUGAAACCGGAAUAUUGGAUGUCAAUUUGAGCUUUCAAUCAGCCAACCGAAAUUUACAGGCGUACCUUGAAGUUUCUUCCUUCUUCCUUCUCUAUUAUUUUUACUGUUAUAUAGUGGUCCAGUCUGACAUAAUCAGUAUGCAAUAUAAAGUAGUUUUGCAUAAGCAAGUAUAUCUCUCUCUUUUCUUCUUCCCUUAGAUGAGGUGUAAAUUUAUUUCAAUCGAGAGCUGACUUUAAGCAAUAUCUGUAAGAUUACAGAUACAAAGAUAAACAAGGGCAUUUACCUAUGUGAACACUCCAACAAUACAAGAAUAAGCAUGGAUAGAAGAAUGAUGAAUAAAUUGGUAAUCUGGUUUGCUAGAACAUGAUGUUAAGUCGACUUCAUGAAAACACUGUCUUGAUACUGAAAUAAUUCAUCCAAAAUUUAUAUUUAAAGGUUUUAAAGAAGAAAAGAAAGAGGCGAGAGGAGGUGAUAGAGAUUAGGCAAUGGUGGUGGGAUUGACAAAACAGGGUUUGAUAGAGGAAAAAGAGGGAGGGAAAAAUUAAGACAGAUGUAUUUAUUCUUAUGAUAAGGCUUGCAAGUCGGGUCACAGUCUUAUAGAUGGAUCGUAACUUGUCUAGGGUAUAUACUGGGAAAUAAAUGGGAGGAUAGUAAGAAUGAUAGAGUACAUUUGAUUUUUAUUAUAAAAAUAAAACAAUUCUCAGCUUUGGUCGUAUAUUUAAGAGAGUGAACCGGCAAAGUCGAGAAAAAAUUUAGUAAAAAAGCUAUAAAGUUGAAGAAAACAAAUGUAUGAUUUGUGAUUGGAAUAAAAAUCAGAAUAAUCAUUUUUUUAAAAUAUAUAUUUAGUUUAUGGUGGAGAUUGGAAUGGAGAUUGAAAUAGAAUUUAAAUACUAAGAUGAUAGGAGAAAUUUGGGUUUGAAAUCGACAUGAGAGUAAAAUUUUUCUCGAUUAAAUGUUUGGUAUAUGAGUCAUCUAUUUUUAUUUCAGAGUCAUAAAAUAUCACAUGGACGGGAGUGAUGACGACGGAAAGGCGCGGAGGGAAAAGGAGGCGGGAACUGGGGGGGCCCGCUGGUUGCCCAGGCAAACGUACCUCCCAGUCUGCCCCACGCCUGCGAUGCGGCCGACACCCUGCCCGUCACGUGCGACAGAGGCGCUCAGAUCAAGGGAAGUCAAGAUCCAACAGCAACAGCCCACGUGUAGGAGUACAUAUUUGUCGGAUGCAGAGCUCCCGGACAAGUUUGAGUCAGAUCUGACAACCAUCAUGGCAUCAAAAUGGAAUCUCACGAUGAUUUAAAAAAAAGCCUGCCAUCUUACCCCGCCGUACACCGUCUUAUUUUUAAUUAGAAAAAACAUAUACCUUGUUAUAAAACGCCCCUAGAAUUACAGAUAUCCACGAGGGUGCCCUUAUCAUUUUCUUUUAUUUAUUUUUCUUUUCUUUAAACUCAGCCAAAUUCACCAAACAAGUUCCAUUUGAUUAAAAUUUCUUGAACUAGGACGUGUUCUAAGAGUUUGUUAAUCUUCCACCUUUGACAUCUAGGGUAGAAAGCGUCUCAUGUUUGAAAACAUUUGUCUAAGAGUAGUUAGAAUAUGGAAUCAGAAGUGAAUAUGCUCCGGCAUAUAAGUCUAAUACUCCGGCUUAUUCUUAUGAUUGCAUUUUUUUACUUAGCAAUUAAAGAUUUUAGAUUUAAUUUUUAAAUAAUAAAUUUUUAAAAUAUCUGAACAUGCAUAAUUAUAAUGCGGGUGGAUGAGUCUCUUCCUCCAUUCCAUCAAAAAAUAAAUUAAUGUAGCCCAUCGUCAAUUCCGUAAAAUAGAGACGAAUCAAAAAUUAAAAAGACCAGCGGAAUUGAUACAAGCCAAAGUUGUUUUCCUUAUGAUUUUGGGCAGGAUGAACAUAGAGCAAAUUAGGAAUUUUGUAUGACAGUUCAUUAAGCUGAGUUUUAGUUCUGAUUGACAUUGGAUAUGACUCCAAAGUAUUAGAUUUGUUUUUUUUUUGUAAAAAAAGAUCAGCUUUACAGGAAGCAUGGGCUUGUCUUCUUUCAUUUAACUGAAGGAUGGGUCAAAAUGUUACGCUAUCUAGGAAAUAAUUAUCGUAAGAUGGAAACAAACAAAAAAAAAAGACUUGUCAUAACAAGUUGUUUACCAAAAAAAAAAAACAACAUAACAAGAGAAAGAAAAUAGACAUGGUACCAACAAAUGAUUAAAAGUAUGUUAAAACGAUCAACUCCAUAUGAGUCAUGCAAUGUCCAGCCAUGCAAAUUCUACUUUUGGUGCACCAUGAUGCUUUUUGCCUACAAUUGCGUGUGAGGUUUGGCACUGAUGUCAUACCACGCAACCAAAUAUAACCUAAUGAAGACUAGAACUCGCAUGACCAUCGAGAAGUUCAAUGGAAGAAGAGAAACAAAAAGCAACUUCAAUGUUAGGCAUGGAAAAAGACUAAUAGAAGCCCCGACAGUUUCCAAAUGUUUGGCUCUCUCUCUCUCUUUUGGGCGAUAAAGAGUGGGAAAUCCCACGAAAACUACAUUCUUAAAUAGAAAACACAAAUCAUAUCAGCAAGGGUAAGUGAGUCAGUGACCGAAUAUCCAAGAGAAUCAUGUUACACGAAGACUAGUCUUCAUUGACUCCCUCUCCUGCACGCCUAUCAGCUGGUUGAUUGCUUUUUCUGAACACGACUUGCACGAAAAAAAUUAAAGGAUUGCUUGAGCUAUAUGAUGUCCAUAAGAAGUGCAUGGCUUAGAAUCAUACCAGCAUUACUACGACAUCCAUUAGUCCAAUCUAUGAUGUUAACGAUUCACCUUCCAACCAGAGCUUCAUGCAUUCUAGUUUUUCUACUGCUGCUGUCAAUCCUCUCAAUUCAACUUCAGGCACUGUAAAUGCAUCAAACGAUCCUGUACCGGCUGAAGAACAUCACCAUACUCAUCACGAAUAACGAAACCUGCACCCACCUUCCUAUCCUUCCACGAUGCAUCAAAGUUCACCUUCACAAGUCCACAGGAUAAGGGUGUCCUAAAAAACCAACUGGGUUGAAGUAGGUGAGCUCAUUAAGUUGCCAGUAUUCUGGUGCCGCAAGUUAACCAUUCUAGUGAACUAUAUAUUUGCAUCCAGUACCUCAACAGCCAGUCGCCGAGUCAAAGAUGGAUUGCUUCUUCUAGCUUGCUGUCUUCCUUGAAAUCAUCGUUCAUUUUCUUUUCAACCACAGGACCCAACCAGCAUAACUCAUAUCAGCGUCCCCAACUCUACCUUCCUUCUAUGAUCCACUAAAAAUUCCACCAGGCUCUGAAGGGAGGUUAUGUUAGGAAUCAAUGGAAAUUGAGUCCUUAAAUCUGACCAAACCAACUUUGCAAAGCUACACUGCACCAAGAUAUGUUCAGUGUGCUCAACAGAGCCAUGGGAUAGACCAUACGAACCAAGAUCAACGCAAGAUCUCCCCAAGGUGAUGCAUGCCAUCUCAUACUUCCUGUUCUUCUCCUUCACUCCCCAAUAUUUUAGGCCAGAAGAGGCCCCCCACCACAUAACUGCCCUGACGUGAGAAUCUGGGAAACCAUUUGGAAGUUUUUCCUUGAGCUAUUCGCAACAGGACACAGCAUUAACAUCAUACCAAGACAAAACUUUCCCAGACCCAGGACUAUUUCUGAAUUGCCGCCAACCAGAUCCAGAGUUGCAAAACCAACCACGUUUCACUAGCAUUUCCUUGUACCCCUCAAACAAUGGCCAGCCAUUUGCCUAGAAAGCAAACAGCUGGAUAAGCCAAGAUAUCACCAUCGAAGGAAUCCAUCCAAAGAACCAAAAAUAAAAUACUCGUUGCAUCCGCCACAACCAAGUUCCAUUCAAAUUUCCAUCGUCCGCACCCGAUAAAAAUUGCAGCUGUGAAGCAACCUUCUAUCUGCCAUCUUUGUUAAUAAACAGCUCAGCCUAUGAAAAGACUACCAGGAGGAAUCAAGUGCAGGACAAAUGCACAGGUCAAACAAAAGUCCACAAUCUACCAUAGCAUCAAGAUGCACAUACAACUAAAGAAGCAUUCAUUCAGUUUUCAGAGAUAUCCAUAAUGUCUUCAAAUAACACAGAUCCAAAUUCAAGUACUCAAAAGCAGAAACACUUCACGAGUAAACAGUACAAAAACUCAAGAUAUUAUACCUAAAGGUACUUUAAUAAUCAACAAUUCAAUUCAACUGAUUGCAGCUGACAAACAAUUCUGGUCCUCCAUAUCAUCCAUCGACAUUAAUUCCUGAAACCAAAAUAAAUAAAUAAAAUGCGAUGAAAGAAAAGGCACUUUUUCAUGAAGACUGAACAAAGCAACAUGCAAAACUAGCAUGGCUUUAGAAACCCAAAAUGAUCAUGGCUAUACUUACAUUAUCUUUUUUACAGAACCAGUGGGCCGACACCAGGAUCCCUCAGUAAAUGCAGUUCUCCAUGGGCAGGUCAUCGAAGCUCCAGAGAUCCACAGUGCUCUGUCCGUCCUGAGCAACAUCACAGCUGAAGAGGCUGUCAAUUGACUCGUCUGCACUCCCCUCAAGAUAAGGGAUCUCCAGGAACUUCAUAAAUGAUUCAUAGGCAGAUAGCUCCUCAGAGAGUUUCAUUGCAGAGUCUUCAUCUGCCGGCACUGCUUCUUCAGAACUGUUUUUCAGUUUCUUCUGAGGGCUACCAUGUUCCAGGAGUCUGGAUUCAUCACCUUCAGUUAUAGUUGGAGCAAAAAGCGAUGUAAUCUCAGGAUUCUUGGUCUCGUGUUCCCAUCCGAAGUCCAAACAAUCAAUAGAGUUGCUUCCCUGUUCAGAGAGGAAAUUCACUAACCCAGUGCCCCCGGAAGAUGGAGACGAUCCUAGCGAGGGAAGGGAAUUCAGGUACCCAGGCUUUGUGAGCUCCUUCACUUCCAUGUGAUCCAUAGAGGAAUGGAAAUCAUAAUCUGGGUUAUUGAGGUACUUUAAGGACUGAUCAAACUUCUGUUCCUCUGUCGUUGCUGGUUUUGGUGUGCGCAGAUUUGCUUUGUGGCGGCGCUUUUGGGCAUUCGCAGGUGCUUCAGGGAAGUUCACCUUAGCUUUCUUGCCCCGGAUACGACGGGCUUCAACAUCAUAAGCUCGUGCAGCCUCUUCAGCAGUGUCGAAUGUUCCUAGCCAAACACGGACCCCCUUGCGGGGAUCUCUGAUUUCAGCUGCCCACUUGCCCCAUGGACGCUGACGGAUUCCUCUGUAUUGAUUCUUUCUCUUCCUUUUGGCUGAUUUAGCUGCAGGCCCACAUAAUUCUUCUGAUUUUAGAGUGAUCGAGCCCUCUGCAGUCCAAAGAGAACAAAGAUAAGACAGAAAGUAACAUAGAGGGGACAUUUUCAUUCUAACAGACAUAGAUCUCAACUUUCUGAUAAUUAAUUAAGAGGAAACAGAUUAUUCCAUACAAAGUUCAAUCACACAUAACAGACAAAAAACAGAUUUUAACCUAGAUUACAGGAUUCUUUAUGAAGUAACAACUCAAUUCUGCUACUCUUCUGUCUGAGUAUAGUCUACCAAAGAAGCAUGCCAGCAAUAAUAGAAAAUAUGAGUACUAAGGUACAAGAUCCCAUGCCAUUUCCAUGCACAAAAACACUUUGAUUCCAAGCUUCUUUCCCAUCAACAAUUAAGUUCUAGGAAACAUUAGGACUGAUGUUGAUUGUCUAUACAUAAAAUUGCACUGAACAUAAUUUUUGUUUUCACUUUCACAAUUUUUGUUGCAAGGAGAGGUGGCAAUUAGAGUGCAGAUCCAUCCACCAUUCCAUCCGAUCUAAUAAUUUAGACAUUUACUUUCAUCAGAUCAGUGGAAAGAUAACCAUAAUUGACUAAUAAUGAGUCAUGUUGGUUUCUAGUUUCCACCCUCCAAAUCAAUCACACAUCAUUUUCAUUUCCCCUUUGCACAAACAAAAGGGAACAACCUGACACAAAUUUUCUCCUGCCCCUGACAUUUUUAUGAUCAACAACUUUGUUUACAUUUAUCUUUGACUCUGAUUUUCCAGCAACAUCCUAGGCAAGACAAAAUUCUCAGCACACCUUAAAUUCUAUAUACUUAUAAUUAUUCACUGUAGAUCUCAUCUCUAUAUUGGAUAACUCAUCUAUUAGAAACAUAAUAUUACUGAAGGACGGCAAAAGAACUGAUUACAAUCCCGAAACCAUAAAAUAGACAUUGACAAGGCAAAACCGGCAGUAAGACAACAACCAUGCACCAAAUCAAACAACAGAACAAUGCAAUAGCUAUAAACAAAGAUGAAAUUGAAGGAAUAACUCAAGGGAGAGGAGAAAAUAAGUCAGAUAUAAGGUGGCGAAAAGAUUAGUCAAAGAGCAGAUUAAUUUGGGUGAUACUACCUGAAUUUAAAGACAAAGAAUCACACAAAUUAAACAAUUUAUCUCAAUAAAAGUGACAUCCUACUUUAGUCUUCACCAAAGAGGAGAGAAAAAAAUGGAAACCGGAGCCUGAAAAUAAUCAUAAUUCAUAUAAAAAUAGUUUGAAAUAGGGAAUUCACAAUUUAAAUCAAGCAAAAUUAGGGAGGAGCAAAUAUUUGUUUAGCAAAAGAUUUGCCCAUAUAGCAUAAAUUACAAUAAAUUCCAAGAAAAUACUUGAGGAGAGAAACCCAAAAGGGCAAAACUCAAGAAGUAUUAUUGUACCCCUUACUCACAUAGGAUUUUCUUCCACCGUUCUUCUCGGAAUAAACAGAUUUUAUAGAAUCUAAUCUAACCAAAGUUUUUUUAUCCAAAGUUUUUUUUUCUUUAAAAAAAGUUAAAAAUGGAGAUCCAUCAAACUCUCACUCAAACCCUAAAGAAACAUAACCUCAUUUCAGUUUAUACAUAACAAGUCCCAAAGAAGAAAGCUCCUUUGAUGGCAAAAAAAGGUAAUAGAGAGAAAAAGAUUCUAUCCAAAAUAAAUUAAAAUCCACAAACAACAAUAGCAAGCUCGAAAGAAGAAGGAAUCACUGAAAACAUCCCACUUUUUCGCCGAGAAACAAAAAAAGACACAUUUACGCUAAAUCGCCAAAAAGGAUAAAAUUUCGAGCGAAAGCUAGAAUUCAUAAAAAAAAUUAAUAAUAAUAAGGUACCCUGAAGACGAAGAAAAUGGCCAAAAGAACAAUCUUUUCAAGAGAAUUUCUCCGAUUACCUCGAGAGAAGGGAGCCUUGGCGGUGAAAGCGAAGGGCUCGACGUCGAUCUCCGCCUCCUCGUCCUCCUCGGACUCGUCCUUGAAAUCCUCGAAGUCGGCCUCGAAAUCGUCGUCGAUCUCCACCACCUCAUGCUUCCGGCCUUUCUUGCUGCCGCCGCCCUUCUUGAGGUGCGGCCAGAGGUAGUCGGCGGUGAGCCGCCGGGAGCCCGCCGGCUGCAGGAUGAAGUCGGAGAUGAUCGCACCACCACACAUCUCGAAGCUCAAAGGCGACGCCUUUUUCGGACUUUGUUUUGUUCUGAGAAGAGAAAAUGGGUGAAGAGAAGAGUAGAGAAGAAGGGAAGAAAGGUUUCUGGCGGAAAGAGUUUGGAGGGGAAGGUGGGGUGUUUUGUAAUAUAAAUAUAUGAUAUUUAGUUUAGGAGAGAAGAAUAAGCUGGUGUUUAGUGAGGGACAGAGAAGCGGGGGUUGUUCCGAAAAAAUAAAGUAUUCAUUAAAAGAUAGAAUUAAAAACGGGAUAGGGUAUUCAUUGAAGUGGUAAACUAUGAAGUGAUACCAAGGAUAUUAAAUAAGUAGGAAUAUAUUGUCCCAAAAAAAUAAAGUAGGAAUAUAUGGUGAUACUAACUUAAUAAGUAUCAUAGAAAGCUAUGUAUCCAGCUAUGGGAAAUUAAAUAAGUAGGAAUAUGGUAAUUAUAGAAAUUACUAAGAAUAUUGUUUUAAGAUCAAAAACAAAAUUGCUGGUACCUGAGUUCAAUUGUCCAAAAUUUUAGAAAUUCCUGUAACUAAUUUUAAAAUUUUAAAAUAAAAAUUACCUUACCAAAUAUGCUUCUAUAUUUUUACUAUUUUAUUUUUUUAAAGAUCAGAAAACACAAAAUAAAAUUGAUACCAACAAAUCCUUAAUAAGUGGGAGCACGAUAGUGAUAUAUGUUAUAGAAAUAUUGUUGAAGGAGGAAGUGAAAAAAAAUUUUCUCUUAACUAUUUUUAUGUUUAAUAUUUGUUAUUCUCAUGAAUAUAUCUAUUUUUAAUCUUUUAUGAGAAUGUAGUAUUAAUUUCUGUGAAGAGUUCAAAUGAUUGGAAGUGGUUGAUUUGGAUUGAAUUAAGGAAUAAAAUAGAAUAAAGGUUUAAGAUUGGGAUGUUUGGGGCAUGUAAAAUGUUUUUUUUUAAAUGGUAAAAAUAUAAAGUGGUAAUUAUGAAGUGAACAUGAUGAAAUUAAUAAUCAUGAAAGAAUACUUAGAAGUAGAGAAUUCCAGAGGGAAGGAUGUACUGCAAUUUAUUUAUAUAGGUGGUGUCAAGUUACCCUAAUGCCACCAUGGUGUUAGGUUUGCAAUAAAAUAUUAAACACAUGCAUUAGAGUAAUGGUUUAUUCUUGGUGCGGAGUGACAAUUCUCGGGCCCUCAGCUCUAAUUGUAUUAGUUCCCGGACUGGGUUUUGAACUUUGUGCUGACCUAUUACAGAUUACAGUAUCACAUUAUGAAGUCCAUACGGGGAUUGGCUCAGAUUUUGUUCAUACAUUUGUGACAUUACUGAUUAAGGUCAGAGAUGAUAUUGGCUCGUUGCACUCUUAGUUUAGGUUGCGUCUCUCGCGUGAAAAAACGAUUGAUUUUUUUUCAUGACAUUAAUAUUCAGUUCUUGGGGCAUUCUGAACUUCUUCAUUCAUCCAUCUAUAUAGAUUUUGAAGCAGUUAAUCUAAUGCUGGAUUUGUACGAAGAAAGAUGGAUCCUUUCUUGGCACGAGAAAAAAGCAAACUCUCGAUUUGACUUUCUUCUUUGGAAAAAAAAAAAAUCAUAUUGCCCAGUGCAUAGUUUAGCAUUUAGUCUAUUGCGGCUUGGGAGGACAUUUUUUCCCCCCUCAAGUAGCAGGCUUACAAUCUAGAAUCUAGAUGUAGAUCUACAUUCAACAAUUGGUCACGUUCAGCCAAAUUUACAAAUCAGACCCAUGCUUAGUCAAACAUUUCUGGUCUUCUUUGACAUGUGAUGCUUCUCUUUUUGUCCACCCUAGUCAGAUUUUUUGUGCUUGGUCUACCAAGUACUUGGCUCACAUGUUGGGUAAAUGAAGCCUAUAUAAUUUUGGGGCACAAACUAAAUAGUUAAUUAAUUUUGGUUUGUACUUUUCAUCAAAACAUGUUCAUUUUGAGGCGAGUAUAUAACAAUUAUUUUAUCUUUGGGUUAAUUAAAGUAUUAUGUAUAAAAUAUUAUAUAUAUCCUGCUCUUGGCAUAAUAUUUUCUUGGGUUGUUCAUCACUGUUUUCCUUUUCCCUUCUCACAUGGGAAUGGUUAGAUUAAUGGUGCCUUUGCACUUGGAAGUCCUCUCAAGAACCUACUCAUUGAAAUAUGUUCCUCGGUUGGAUUUUAUUUUGUGGGAAGUUUGAAUGCCAUUGAAAUGGCCUAUCAUCUCUUCAUCUGAGUGUUUUGCCAUUUAUUCAGCAAUUUGACUCUUUCGAGCAACCCACCUAAUUUAAAGCAGUAGUUGGUCGACCAUUUGACCACAAGACGUGAUAUCUUAGUUUCUCCUUAAUAAAGAACAUAAUGGAUAAAUUUUUGCACUAUUAAUUUAGUUCCGCUAUGAACUAGAGAAUAUCAAGUUCAACUAGUAUAAAGAUUGUGCAAAAACAAAAAAAAGGCAAAGCCAAUCAAAAUUCAUUAAGAUCAUAGAUUGUGGGGAAUAUGAUAUUCCCUAUCAAAAUUUCUUUUUUCUAGUUAGCUAACAUUUAUCUCACCUAAGUGGCCAAAUUUAUAUUUUACCUAGGUAGUAUCACUACCACACUAUCUCCGGCAUAAUAUUCUUAUUUUGAAAUAAAGAUGCAUCCAAAAAGAGGAGCAUUUCUCCUAAAUUAUUAACUACUAAUUAUUAAUUAUUGUUAAAUUUUAAUGAAUCUAUAUCGAUAAUCAAAGUCAAUAUGUAUCUAAUUGGUAACAUUUGCAAAUGAAUAGCAGUACCAACUCACGUGACCUAGUCACCUAGGUUGAAAAUACUUGUCCUCCUCCUUGCUCGAACAUUGAAAGAAAUCACCCAAUUUACCUCUUCAAGCAGAAGUCUUAAAAUGCACUUAGAUUUGAAGGAUACACGAUGUAGAAAAGGCAGAAAAUGAAUGAGGAUGAGAACAGAUACAAUUAUAUAAAGACGUGCUUCUUUGCUUGUCUCAUGAUCUUGCUUACAAGGAUACUUGCCAUGAGCUGCUUUUUUUUUUUUUGCAUGUUUAAGUUUCAUCGCAACUAAAAACCCGAAAAGAUUAAAAAAAGAACUGCAUCCCGUUACAUGGUUUGUAAAGCUCGCACCUAUGCAUUUCCACACUCGUCGGUAGCAAUUAUUUUCUUCACACAUUAGCUACAGAAGCAUAUAUCUCUUAACUUGCAGAAGAGUAGUUUAAAUAAUUAAAUCUGCAUCACUGAUAUAUAUAUAUAUAUACACUAUUCUUCUAAUUUUUAUUCUCUCUUUAAAUAGAGAUCUACACCUUUCAAUUCACUUCAAUUAUCAGAAUAUCAAUGUCAAAAUUAUCUCCAUGGUCAAAAAAAAUGGCGUAUGCACGGAAUCUGCCACAAAGCAAGGAACGCAGGUUGGAAAGCAGCGAGCACAAAUUAGUGCGGGACCCACCGAGGAUUUCAGAGCGUGAUGCAUGGGUCGAGUUCUCUUGGUCUCCUUUAGCUGCAGUUUUAAGAUUGAAUUCUUCUAUAUUUCUGUCAUGAAAACAAGAAGGAUUCUUUUAGCAAAAAAAAACAAGAAGGAUUCUUGGAGAUGCAUGAACCCAGCUCUGGACUCAUUUUUCCAUGCUCCAUGUUGCCCUUAAUUUUGUCUCACAGAGAUGGCCAAGAUAUAUAAGGAAAAAGAACACAUUUUUCUGAUGCAUUUGUCAUUAUCUAUUUGUCAAGGAAAGGGAAAAGAAAUCAAAGAUGUCAACGCAAUGAUGUUGCGUAACAACUAUAUUAUAUGGAAAUAUAGCUGAAACCACUUGACUAUGGCCCAACCAACGCGCCCAAGAUAUCUGAUGAUAUUUCUCCGACUCACAAUCAGUGUUCAAUUAAUAGCUAGUGCAACAAAGUUUUCAUGGUUUAUCCAAGCUGAGCCUAUUAAGUCGAUUCGUUUGGGGUCAAUUUGUCUAGAGAUAAGGAUGUGGUCUAGACUUAGAGAUAAGAUGUAGUGGGUCUGGUUUGGUGUGCUAAGGUAAUUCAUUUGAUAUUGUUUUGUAGAAAUAUGGAUAUGGUUAGAGGCCUUUGGCGUGGCUGUUGGGAUAAGAACCUCGAGUCAUGAUGAUCAAAUGGUUUAGUUAUAAUCCACUUGUUUUAUUUCAAACCUAAGUUUGUCAUCUUGCCAAGAACUGAGAAUACUAUAUCUGUUUUUAUUUGGGGUUACAAAACUAUCAUGUUCUUUAAUGUUUUUUUAAGAUUGUUCAUUUGUCAAUUGUAGCUGUUCUUUAUGGCCUGUAAAAUUUCUGAAAAUUAUUUAACUUUUGGACAUAUCUACAAGAAAUUGGUCUAGCUAGUUUCUUUUGUUGUGUGUAUAUAGAUACAUAUAUACAGCCACUUUUUAUGUUUCAGCUGCUUCGGAGAAAAAUUAUAAUGUUGUCGCCUUCUCUCAAAUUUAUGUUGGAUAUAUUGUUGUCACCACCUCUCAAAUUAAUGCAUGUGCUAGUCUCUAUGUAUAUCGAAAGAAAUGUUUACUUGAAAAGCUGUAUAGCUUAAACGAGUUUUCUUUUUUUCUUUCUAGAUGGAUGCCUGCAAUUAAAAAAAAAGGAAAAAUUAUACAAGUUGCAUUUUUUCAACUCCUUAGUAUCGCUAGCUGUAUGAAUGCAUGGAUAAAUAGAUGUAUCCAGUCCAUCUCAUUUUUUAUUUUUUUCUUUUGUAUUCUAAUUUUACUUUUUAUCUUGAUCAUAAGAAUCACACCGAAAUGCUUGCAAAUGUUAGCAGGGGUACGACAUUAUUUAUAUGUAAAUAAAGUUUGCCAAUUUAUGCACUCAUAUAAAAUUGAGAAUUUGGGUUGAAGCAAAAUGAAUAUUGAUAUAUAUUUCUCAAGCAAACCAUUCAAUUUAAUAUGUCUAUUUGCGGUUCAUCUUUUGAUCUCCAAGCUUUCUCAAAUCUAGACUAGGUUGAUAUUGAAUCCUAUAUCAUAUGAAUGUGAAUUAAGGUGAGAUACUCCCAAAACUUGGAACCGUUCCUUCAUUUUAUUGGUAAAUGCUAUUCAGGUGAAAAAAAACUUACCCAUCUAGAGAAGCAGAAGAAUGCAGAUAAGUUGGCGAAUGAGAAAGUUUGACCCUUUUUUUUUGGUUGUUGUCGUUGUUGUGGAAGAACAGGCCCUGAAGGAGGAAAGAGAUAAUUACGGGGCGGGGAAGAAGAGGUUACAGAGAAGCAACCCCGCUGUCGGCAAACGGUAUCAACUUGUUUUAUAAUGCAACUUGUAGUCGGUGGGUGAAAAUGGCAUGAGACCAGGUUCAUUGCAGGAAUCUUUUUGUGAAUGGUGACUCCCUAUUAAAUUGAUAUCUUGAAUUCAAUCAUUCACGAGAUCUUUCAGUGAAUGGUGACUUGGAUGUAGAAGCUUGUGGCCGACACGUUCCUCUUAAUUAAUUCUUGUGAGGUCGAUCUUGAUCCCUUGGACUCAUGUCCUUUCUUUUGGAGCAUAGUUGGAAUUCUUAGAAACCUAGCACGUUCGGCUAAUACUGUAGGCUCAUUUAAUCAACAGGAUUGGGCAUGAGAUGCUAAGUUUAGGUAGAGAUGCUUCAUGCUGCCAAUACAAUUGGUGGUAAAUGUAGGUGUGACACUUUAAGAGAUAAGGGACUAACCAAUGUGGAAGCAUUCUUGGUUAGCGAAUAAGAACUCGAACAUCGGUGUUUAUUCAUUUGGUUGAAUUGAAAAAAUCUCAAAUAUUAGCCGUUAUCUUUUUAUCAUAUAAAGGCAAUCAGUAAAUGUUAAUUAUUGUGUAUAAUAUGUGUGUAUAUGUGUAUGUGUAUGGUUAUGUGCGUACCGUGCGACAUUAUUAAGGUCAUUAUCCUAAACUUUGAUAUCUGGUGAUGCCUAGCACUGUGAAUGGUAUAUGUACACCCCUUAAAUCAUAGACAAUAUUAAGGUACAAAUUUCAUAUAGGAACAUGUAAUUUUUCUUGACGUUGGUAUGUGAUACAUGAUUAAUGUUGAUAUAUGAGAAAAUUUAGGCCUCCGCCUUAGAAAGUAUAAAAUUCAUGAUAAGUAGCCAUCAAAACCACCAUGAGAAGCUAUAUGAAAAACAAAAUUAUUUAUAUUAUGAAUUCACAUCAUUUUUCAUGAUCAAUAGCUACUACGGUGCAAUAAAUUAUUGAGAGAAAUAGCUGACGAAAUAUAGAGGAACAGUAAGAAACACUGCAGACUGCUACUUUACCUUGGUGUUUGGUUUGUCUUUCUUUUUGAGUUAUCUGCAUGUUUUAAGUCACCAUUUUCUAUUGCCCACUCUUUUUUUUUUGAGAAAAAAAUUUGAGGUACCUGCACCAGCGACCAUUUGCAUAGAUAUAUAUGAUGUGAGAAUUAUUCAUGUCAAACAACACCUGAACCACCUUGCAUGCUUUGAACAAGAAGCCUCCUCCAGAGAAAGGAUGCAAUUAUUGUGCUAUAACUGAUUUGCUUUCCUCUUUUUGCAACUUAUUUAUGCAAUUUAACUCAUAUGAUACACACGAAACAGAGAGAAAAAACUACGAUCAUUAUGUACUAAAUAACUAUUAAGUAUGACAAAUGAUUUUAUUUGUAGAUUCGUUUUCUUAAAGCGUGAUUGGGGUAUAUUACAUUUAUGUGACAUUUUAAACCGACUGAAUGGAUAACCAUUGAGAACUACUUUCGUACUCAUCUUUACUUUUUUUUUUUUCACAUUUAGACAUCACAAUAUUAUUAUUUGGAAGGGGGAAAACCAUUCUAUCUUUUGGUACUAAAUAAUCAUCAAAUUUUCUUUUUUCUUCAGAUAAAUAAUGGAAAUCAUUUUGCUCGACAAUUAUUAUGUUAUGCUAGUUUUUUAGUUAUACUGUAUAUUAUAUUAUAUUAUACUAAUCUUACGAUAAUCCUACGUGACUAAUCAUUAUCAUAUCAGAAUAAUCAUAUUUUAAUAGUAAUAAAAUUAUUAUAUUUCUAUAAUAUUAUACUAAUAUGCUAUAAUAUUAUACUACUCAAAACAAAUAAUUUAUAAACUAAGAAUACUUUAUAAUAACAAUUCUUGAUAGAACAAAAAAUUAAAAAAUUGAAGGCAUUACACAAUAUCUUUUAUUGCCAUAUUUUCUUAUACUUAAAAUACUUUGUCUGUUCGGUACCAAAUAGAUAUUAAGAUUCCACACCACUUUACAAAUGUUUAAAAAUAUGAUUACCAAACAGCAAAUAGCUUUUUAUUAAAAGCUCUACUCCUAAAAUCUCUACGGAAAAUGACUCUAUUAUCAAUAGCAAUCCUAGACAGGGCCUAAAAAGCCUAAUGUAUAGUUGCAAUUCACAACUUUAUAGUGGCAGUAAUAACGUUUGUAACGGUUAUUAUUUUGAACCAUGUUUCAAUUUGAUUCCUAAUCAUCACAUGAAAAGAAAACUGUAUUUAUGACAUAGUUUUUCAAAAACAAAAACCUUUCUCAAUAUCUUCAUAACUACAAAAUUAUGGCAGGAAUCCAUUUGAAACAUGGUUCAAAAUAAUAACCAUUAUCAACAUUACAACCACCAUUACAAUGCUUUCAGAGGGUUCUCAUCUCUUGCCAGGCAUUCACCUCGCUUACCAGUAUGUUAACAUCUUGUUGCAGAAAGGAUGCAAGAGGAGGGAUAAUCUGACUUUACAUUGUAAUUUGUUUUAUUUAUUCCAUCCUUUACAACAAGGGCUAUUAUUUUUGAUUAACUUGCAAACUCUCAUAUCUACUACACUCGAAACAACAGUAUCACUAGUCAGGCAGAUUUUUCGACUCCAUUAAUUGCCUUCUGAAUUAUAACGCACUGAAGAAGGCCUUUUUCUGGAGAAGAUCAACCACAGCAUGGAAUUUCAAACCACAUCCAGCUCAUGGAACUUCAUGAGAUCAUGGAAUGCUUACAUUGUCUUUAUUUGCAGAGCACCAGUUGCAAGGACCACCAUCAUUCAGUAAACAUUGCCUUCCAUGGGCAGGUCAUCAAAGCUCCAAAGGUCCAAAGUGCUCAACCCCUCCUGAGCCACCUCGGAGCUGAAAAGGCUGUCAAUUGAUGCAUCCGAGCUCCCCUCUGCACAAGGGAUCUGCAGGAACUCCAUAAAUGUAUGAAAGUCAGACAGGUCCUCAAAGAAUUUCAUUGCAGAGUCUUCAACUGCUGGCAUUGCCUCCCUAGAAUUGUUUUUAAUUUCUUCUUGGGGUUACCAUGCUCCAGGAAUCCAGAUUCAUUACCUCCAGUCAUGGUGGGAGCAAGAAGUGAUGCGAUCUCAGAAGUCCUGGUCUUGUGUUCCCAUCCAAAAUCCAAACAAUCCAUAGAGUUCACAAACUCAGGCUUACUAAUCUCCUCAACUCCCUUGUGCUCCAUAGUAGAAUAGAUAUCACAGUCCAGGUCACUCAGGCACUUGAAAGUCUGGUUAAACUUGUGUUUUUCUGACAUUGCUGGUUUUGGUGCUUGCAGAGUUGGUUUGUGGUGGCGCUUUUGGGCACUUGCAGGUGUUUCAGGGAAGUUCACCUUAGCUUUCUUGCCCCGGAUACGACGGGCUUCAACAUCAUAAGCUCUUGCAGCCUCUUCAGCAGUGCCGAAUGUCCCGAGCCAGACACGAACCCCUUUGUAAGGAUCCCUGAUUUCAGCUGUCCACUUGCCCCAUGGACGCUGGCGGAUUCCUCUAUAUUGACUAUUUCUCUUCCUUUUGGCUGAUUUAGAAACAAAUCCACCAAAAUCCACAGAUGCCAGAUUGGUUGACAACCCUGUAGUCCAAACAGAACAAAAAAUUAGAAAAGAGACAACAUGGCAAGAAAAAUAUAGUAUCCUCCUACCAAUAUAUAUAUAUAUAUAUAUAUAUAUAUAUAUAUANNNNNNNNNNNNNNNNNNNNCUACCAACUAUAUAUAUAUAUAUAUAUAUAUAUAUAUAUAUAUCAGAUAUCUGGAUAAUUUAUUAAAAACAAGUAGACCAAUCUAUAUAAAGUUUAAUCACACAAUUUGGUUUCUGUAAGCAAAAAAAAUUCAAAAUAAGAACAAGUGACAUACACUAUCUACCAAGCAAAAAUGUUGGUUGCAGAAAGAUCCAUCCAAAUCCCGAAACAGAAAGAUAUCUGGACAACCAGAAGAAUCGAAUUUUUUGUUAAAAAGGAUUGCAAAAAUAACAAUAAUCGAACCCUAAACGGAAAACUUCAUUAGAAUUUUUAUAUCUCUAACCUUUUCCUCCCAUUGCUUCUAGGCAAGAACCUAAAACACAAA